UCACUAAGAUGACUAUAAUAGGAUGUGAAAGAAUGAAAGAAGUAGUGGCAAAUGAAGGAAACAGAAAAGGACAAGUGAUUUCUUUUGGAAAUCUACAACAUUUGAUACUCCAACAUCUGCCAAGCCUAGAAUGCUUCUCCUCCAUCCCAAGUUGCAGCUUCAGGUUCCUAUCCUUGAAUAUAAUUGAAGUGGAAGAAUGUCCAAAAAUGAAGAUUGGAAGAGAACUGGAAAGAGGGUGAUGAUCUCAAUGCAACUAUACAAAAGUUAUCAGCAUGAACAAAUGCACGUAAUAUUGGUAAAGAUUCGAUUGACGUCAUUCUCUUAUCCAUUCUCGUUUCUUUUUUAUUUUUUGGCGGCACCGUAAGUUUUUAAAUUUUUCAUUUUUUUGUAACUUUUCUAUUAUUGAUGACGUCCGAUCAGCAUCAUCAUCAGCCCUAUCUAUCGAUCGAUCUUGCCUCCUACUUCACUGAACAGUAGGAAGCGAAGCAGGGCUCUCCUCCUUCUCCUUUUUGAUGCCAGAGGCUGUCUCAGCUGCAUUCACGAAGGACGGAGCGAAAAGGAAGCGUCAGGAAUUGCCAGGACUUGAGAGAAGAUGGCACUGCUGAGUCUGGACAGUCAGUCCUCCACUCACUUCAUCAAAGAAGAAGAUCAUUCUCUCUCUUUCUCUUUCUCCACAUUUGUAUCCGACGAAUCGUAGGUUCACGCUUCUGCACGUAUCAUUCAUCUCGUCUGCCGGAAUUUCUUCCCGAUUUUCGUGUCUUGUUGCGCGUAAUUUUCUUCCGGUUUUCGUAGAGAUCUUUCCUCAACCAUCGUCGUCUUCUUCAGCUAGGGCUCUGCUUUUUAAAUUCAUUCCUUGUAAAUUUCUCAGUCCACUACUUCAGAUCAUGGACCAAUAGAGGUCCUCCACUGACAUCAUCAAAGAAGAAGAUCUCUCUCUCUCUCUCUCGUUCUCUCGCUCUCCCUCGCACUUGAACCCGGCAAACUUGUAAGUUCACGUUUCUUCCGAUCUCGGUGUCUUAUUGCGCACGAAGUAGGUUGCGGAAGCUGGUUUCGUAGAGACCUUCCUCAAUCCUCGCCUCCUUCUUUAGUAAAGGGCUCUGUUCUUCAAAAUUCGUUCCACAUUAGAGUCUAAAAGCAUAAGUUCCUCAAACUAGCAAUUUUAUCUUAACAAUGGAGUAAUUGAAAUAGGGAAAAGAAUGAAAGGACUAUUCUUGGGACAUAAUUUUAUCUUAACAAUGGAGGUUCGAAAAGAUAACAAUCGUCUCCUUUUUUCGUGGAUAGAUGCGUUGGAAAGGCAAUUCCUAAGGCGUCUUAGAAUUAGAAUCCAGGUUCUCUUAUAUAGAGAAAUUUGACAAUGUGAUUCAAUGUCGGAGAAGUAGAAUAUAUAUAUGUUAAUCACACAAAGAGACUAUGUUCAUAUGGACAAGCAAAUUGCAAAGAAUGUUGCUACCUCCAUAACUAAAGAGAAAGACCUAAUCGAUAAGGGGCUGGCUUGUUGUGAUUAUGAAAUUUCAUUGUAGAUCUAAUGACUGAUAAUUUUGCUUUCAAAUAGGAGAUGCUAUUGUAUUUUGUUAUAUUAAUCAGAUUUAGGGAAAAAAAAAGAUUUUACUUUGUCAAAUUGAACCAAUAGUUUGAUAAAAACUUAUUUGAGCUGUGCUCGAAAGAAUCAAAUAGCUUAAGUUUAAAUUUUCAAUUCUAUCCAUGUUCCAGUUAUCAAUGUAUUUCCUUUUUUCCCUGUGAUUGUGAUUUGUGUGGCUGAAAUUGAUUUGUUUUAAAUAUAUAUAUAGGACCUGGAAGGCUUCUUCUGAAUGUGUACCCUACUGCAUUCUUGGAGCAUAGAUUUGACCUUGACUUUGGAUUAAUGGCUUUCCUUAUAUGGUUUGCUGUCUAUUAAACUCCUGAAAGUAGCAAGUAAUGCCUUAAACUCACGUUGUGUAUGAUUUGAUUCUCUCAUUAGGGUAUGCUUAUGUCUUGAUCUGUUCUUUACCAUAUGUUGGUUUUUCAACCAUGGAGACAGGUAGUCUGCUCCUGUUCAAUUCGUCAUGCAACAUAUUCAGGAAAUUAAGCAAAUUGCUACUCUUAGGUAUUCGGACAAGUCAUGGAUGGUGAAGCUAAGGAGUUGGAGAUGAGAUUUAUUACUUUUUUUUUGGGGGGGGGGGGGGGGGUGUGGGGGCGUUCUUUUCCAAUGGGUGACCCACAUUUGCAAUAGAAAGUCAUCUGCAAGUAGAAACUCAUUGAUAGGGAUGAUUUUGUGUUUAGAGUCUACAUAUUCACUAGUGCUGGUUAGGACUUGAUUUACAUUGAUCGAGAUGAACUCUGGAAUUGUCACUUUCGCUGGUCCAAAAUGAAUUUUGUAUUCCAAAUAAUAACUCCUUUAUGUAGUCUUGAGGAAUUAAGGAAAUGUACUUCUAUGCCAACUGGGUUUUAUGAGGUUGAUCAUAAUCUAAAUGCAGACUCAUUAAUGCCACAUUCCAAAUCUGAAUGAACUGAAAACAAGAUGUCCUUUUUUGGUUUAUGCAUUCUUGUUAUGUUGUUCUUCGUUUUGAAUCUAAAAUCUGGUCUCAUAGGCUUAUUAAGAUUAUGGGUUCCUACAGGGAAUAUCAAAAAGGUUCGAGAGGAUGCUUUUGAGAGGAUGGUGCAAUUAUUUGGGUUGUGGAAAUGGAAAAAUGUGAUAAGAUGGCUUGGCUAGCAAAGGGUUGGAAUAAAUAUGCAGAGCAUUACUCUAUUUGUGAGGGCCAAUUUUUGGUCCUCUAAUCUGAAGGGGACUCCAUUUUCCAUGUCAUCAUAAUCGAUGAAAGGAUGUUUGAGAUAGAAUAUCUACCAAUCAAUGAAGAUGUGAGGAACUGAGCCUCAGCAAUUGUGGAUUUGUCUUGCUGAAAGCGGAAGAUGCCUUCGAUUUGUGAUGUUUCAGCCAAGCUUGAAGUCCGGGGGGAUGGAUUGCAUUCAACCAAGUGUCCGCAGUCUUGUAUAGAAAUGGAAUCUGAUCAGGUUUGCAAAGUUCAUGGCAAUUCCUAUGCACAUUCAUCAGCAGAGUUUGGGGAGGAACAGAAGUUCAAACUGCUCAUCACAAGAUUUUCCAGGUGUGAAUCUUAAUAUAUUAGCUAAUUCUCCCCUUGAUUGUGUUGUUCUCGUGUUUGAUUCAAAUACCAUAGAGGAACUAUCCAUGUCGUUAGGCUAAGACAAACUGCAUUAGAGAGUUGAUGCUAAGAGAAAGUGUUAAGAGCUAAUUCAUUCUAUUAGUGUUUCUCUAUCUCUAGAUCUCCCGUGUGUGCAUAUGUAUGUGUUGGGACUAAAUGUGCCAGCAAUUGCCGUGAUGCUUCGGUUUUGCUUGAAGUCUUGGGGGAUGAAUUGCAUCCAGCCAAGUAUCCUUAGCUUUGUAUGGCAAUGGAAUUUGAUCAGGUUUGCAAAAUUCGUGGUAGUUCCCAUGCACAUUCGUUAGCAAAAAGUUUGGGGAGGGACAAAAGUUCAAACUGCUCAUCACGACAUUUUUCAGGUGUGAACCUUAAUAUAUUAGCAAAUUCUCCCCUUGACUGUGUUCUUCUUAUGUUUGAUUUGAAUUCCAUCAGGAACUCUCCACAUUGUUAGGGUAAGAGAAACUGUGUUAGAGCUAAUUCACUCUCGUAGUGUUUCUCUGUCUAUAGUUCUCCCGUGUGUGAAUAUGCUUGUGUUAGGGGAUCUCAUAAAUAAUGGAAACAAGCCGAGCCAAUCAUAUCAGUUUUGAUUGCGCUGAGAAUCGUAUUGGUGUGCAUAUAGGCCUUGGGAAGCUAGACCAUUAGUAAGACUCAGAUCAAUUGAUUUAGGGUUGCUAUGUCGGCAGAUAUGAGUUUUACAUAAUAAGAAUAGAAUACGACUAAAAAGCAAAUGCUUUCUUCAUGUUCUGUUUGCGACUGCUGCAGGUAAGGUGAGGGGCUUGUGCAGAGCUCUUGAACUGGCCAGCAAAUUAAUACUCGAUUAUUCUUUCUCCGAAAUUGCGGUGAGGUUAAUACAGCUGAAGAAAAACAAUGUGGUAAGAUCCUCGUGAUACUGACAACUCUGGGAUUUAAAUCACCUAAGGCAUCCUCAUACUGUCUUCCUCAGAUAUCAUUGGUUGUUCUCUUCUUUGUGAUGACAAAAUUGCAAAAUGUCUACUUGAGCAGAGAGUUCCUCCUUCAUUCACAAAGACACAUGUUAAGGAAAGCCCGUAGACCAUGGCUCUCAUAUUUCAAGACAAAUCAUGGCCGUUGAAGCUCAUCAGCCACGAACAUUAUGGAAAAGUCAUCUGCCCUUUGGGCCGCAUCACGAGAGAAACUUUUCUAAAGGUGGAAGACUUGUGUGUUCGAGCUUUAUUGAAAGGGACGAUAUCAUGUUCAGAGUAUCCAUCUUCAGAACCACUGAUAAGAUUUGGGUGUAUAAUAAUAUGUGCAAUGCGAUACAGCAGAGGAAGCAUCGCGUUAGCUCGCUUUUGGUGAGAACAGAAUUUACAGAAUUGCAAAGCUGAAUUCUGCUUUCGGUUCAGCAGAGUGGAUAAAAGCAUUAGUUUCGUUCCAAUGGAUGGAAUGGUCCUGAAUGUGUACGAUACCUUUCCUUGAUCCUAGACGCGGCAAUCACAAUGUGGGCAAGAGUCGUGAGUUGUGAGUCGGAGGAAGCUGAUUACAAAUGUCGAUUCUGUAAUUCAGGAGACAAUCUCUCUUUCAAAUUGGGUGCUUCUUUAAGGUUUCCGGUGGCUUAACCUGACCUUUAGAACUGUAAAGCAUAGUUAUGUCGAUUACGCUUCCCUUAAGCCAUACCAAGAUUUUGCAAGCUCUGGUGAACUUACAUCAGAUUCUUUGCAAUCUCUUUUCGAUUUCUUGAAGAUUUUGUGAUCAGUCUUUUCGUAUGUCGCAAAUUGACGUUUGUCAGUUUCUUCUCAUGUGAAAAACAAUCGGAAUUUUUUUUUAUUUUUUUUUUUAUAUUAAAUGAAUGUUGAUAUGCAUGACGAAGUAAAUAUGCUGCGUCUUUGCGUCGCUGUGGCACGUCUCUUCCGCAGCCUCUCUCUCUCUCAACAAACACAGCAGCCGAGCCUCCAACAGUGGCUUUGCACCUUUAGAAUCAGCGAUAAUCCCAGCGCUCUCGAACUUGAACUUGCUCUCACCGAUUCUCUCUCUCUCUCUGUGUCUUUCUUCCAUGCGAGAACUCGAUACAUCCUCUGUAAACCUACGGCAAUAGAAAUUUGGGAGAUGGUGAGAGGAUGGGAGAAAACAAAAGUGAAACGGAAAUCAACGGACAAAAUUUGCAAUGAAUCGAAGACAAUUCUAGAGUUAAAUUGGAGACGGAACGUCCUGGUAAUUGUGACUGUCGAUCAAGGAAACUAUCUGGUUGAGUUCUGCCGUCGCGGCGGUGAGUGGCAUCUUCGAACUGGUAGUGACACUUUUUGUGCUUCGGUCAGUGCUGGAAGCAACAAUCGUCAAAGAGCUCGACCUCAAUAAAUCGCUGGUGGAGCUCCAAACGCGGUUGCAAUAAAUCAUUAGCUAGAGAUCAAUCCCCCUUCAUUCAGUUGUUCCUCCAAGCUGCAAUCGAAGGCUUCUCCGAUUCUCUCCACCAAUUCAGAUCACCCUACAGUGAACGACACUAUCAGAUUCCGCAUUCAAGGUGCGGCCACACUAAUUCCUCUCUGAUUUGAGUUCUCACUUUCCUGUCCUUACAUAUGUCUGGACCACAUUCACCUGUCGCCCGGCCAUCUCGAGCUCAUGUCGCCAUCACCACUGACCCAUUGUUACGCCCGUUUCAUGUGCAAUCGAACUGCCGAGUCAAAUUUCGAUUCACUCCAGAAUACGUUCUGUCAACUCUUGCCAAGGCUGAGGUCGGAUGGAUCAUCAUAUGGAUACCAUUCGCGGAUACGAAGGAUGAGAUUCUUUGGUUUCGCUCUUGGCACUCUUGCCAGUCCGACGUCACUUCAUCAACCGUGGUAGCCAAGGCCAAUCUGAGUCAUCAUCCUUCGAGACGAUACACCGAGCGUGAAGAUUGGCAGCGGCGAGCAAACAAUCUAGAAUAAAAAGGUGCAAUGCAAAGGGGUGGAUGGAGGUGAUUCAGAUUUUGCGUGGGAAUUUUGGGCAAAACAGGCAAACAAGGUGAAGCUGGUGGUGGCUCUUUGGAUGAGAAGGAAGUAAAGUGUAGAAAAAAAAAAAGAUAAAAAAGGAAAAAGAAAGUAAUAAAAAAAAAAAAAAAAAAAAAGAGAGACACGAAAGGAAAAUAUAGAGAGCACACGAGAAAUCGGUCAAAUGGAAGACGUGCACAAGAGAUGUAAUUCGUCACACCAUCGAACACCUUCAUUGCAAACUCGAUCCCUCCUCCACAGUGCAAUCGACGGCAAUGGGAAUUCGGAAGAUGGUGAGAGAGUUGGAGAAAAUCAAAAUGAAAUAGAUAUCAACGGACGAAGUUAGAAUAUAUCGAAAUUAAUCCUAGAGUCGAAUCGGAGAUGAAAUGACCUGGUGGGAAGUGCGACUGUCGAUCUGAUAGAUAUCAUAAUUACCCGAAUGUCAGUGAGGAACCGGCUGUCCGCGGAUAUUUCUUAUGGCGCGAUCUUCUUUCCUCCGCUUUUUGUUACAGAGUCGUCUCACCCUCUGUUUCUCUCUUGCGCAAUUCAACGAACACCUUCUGCUCCGAGGACGCAGCACAUUCAACGACCAGGAAACUACAGGGGUCAAGUUCUUCGCCAUGCAACGUUUUCUCUAUGUCUAUCUUCAUUUUUUUCACCAGGUCUUCCUCUAUCAGGAUUGUUUCCUAUCCGAUUAAACUUCUGAGUCCAAUUUCGAUUCAUUCCAGUAUAAAUUCUGUCGAUUCUUGCUUCCUUCUUUUCCCUUCCACUUCAUUGCCGCCUUUUGGAUUCCAAAUGCGGUCGCUUGCGUCCUUCGUUUCGCCCUCCUACGCCGCGCAUGAAGGGGAUGUCGGGCUGGUGUAUAGGAUCCGCCAAUUCGAGGGAUGAAAUCUUCGAGUUCACUCUCGGCCCUCCCGCCGGUUUGAGAAGCCCGUCAAAGGGAAGACUUGCAUAAAAGAUGGAAUUCCUUGAGAGGAAGAUUCAUCUCAAAACUCAGCCAUCAUUUUCCUUUUCUUUUCCUUUAAAUAGGCAUAAAAAAAACUCCAAACGACGCCAUUGCAGCGUUUCUUGGCUUCAGGUACCUUUUUCGGAUCUCUCCAUCCAUCUUGACACGCUCCCCCGCUCAGUGAGUUCCGAGUCGCUCCACCAUCACCCUCGCUAUCUACUGCUGCUUUGAAACCGAGCUGCACUCGCCUCAUGAUUGAUUCUGUCGCUCACCGUCUUUAGAAACUUCGGUGAUCUUCUCUCUUUCUCUCUUCUUUUCCUUCUUCCGGUUCGAAUCGCGUUUUCGUUUUGUGCAUUCUUAUGCGUUUUGACAGAGCGAUGUUUAAUGCUAUUGUCGUUUUGCUCAUCAAAGGGUUCAUGCCCGGAAUUUUUUUCUUUUUUCCUUGUUUCCAAUCGUGAAUCCAAGACCACUUGGAAACGAGCGAAGAUUGAACUGAAAACGUCGUGAGAAAUCACCACAGCGAACGAGAGUUGUGCAGAGUUAAGCUCGGUCGAACAGUGGUUCGGUUUUCCUCUAUUUUUUGGCACCCUAUAGUCGCUUCUGGAUUCAGUUGUGGUGCGAGGGUGACUCGCUAGCCAUUCCUGAUCGGUCCUUCGAUUAACGCUUUUCUCUGUAUAGAUUUCUGAGCGGCUUGGGACUUCGAGAUGGGAGUGGCACCGAUGAGUUAUGACAUGGAAGAGGGGACUCUGGAUAUCGGCAUGGGUAAGCUUUUGGCCCUCUCUGCUUUCCGAAUUUUUUUUGAGCUACCGACAAUGGAAAUCUGCUGGGAUGCUUGAAUCUCGUAAUUAAGCUUUGACUGUAUUGUGGGGAGUAGCUUUGUCUCCUUGUUUGUGGUUUAUUGUGUCUUUCGCCAUCUAAAUUUCACUGUGCUUGGAAUCAGAACUUUAAUCAUGGGGUAUUAUUGUUUUCGAGGCUUUCCAUGUAGCUUUAGCGUUUCUGAAAAGUUUACGCUGCCACUCUUAUGACAACGGUUAAUACACUUACUACUUAGAUCUACACAAUCUCUAUCAUUUUACAUGUAUUGGUUAAGAGGUGAUGAAUCAUUUAGCUCUUGUCCGAGUCAAAUUUUUAGCAUGCCUUAGCCGCUGGGUCUUAGUUAUCAGUUGUUCAGACAAUUGCUUUGCUACUUGCAGAGCAUAGGAUUGUCUAUGGUGUUGUUGGGCCGUUGGUUAUACUCGACAAAGUCAAGGUCAAUUUCACUGGUUAUAAUUUUACGAGUUUCAGUGAACUCCUAUAUUGACAUGUUGGAUUACUUUAUUGUAUAUUAGGGACCAAAGUAUCAAGAGAUUGUAAAUAUCCGCUCGGGAGAUGGAACAACUUGACGUGGGCAUGUCCUUAAAGUUGAUGGAUAGAAAGCUGCUGUGUAGGUUCAGUAUAAGCUGCCAGCCUCUUCUUUUUUGCUUUAUCUCUCUUGAAACUGCAUUUUUGUUGGUUGGACUACAUUAGUUGGGUCACUUUGGUGUGCAGUACUUUUUAGCUAAUGACCUAGUGAAAUCUCUACCGUUAAUUACAAGCAUCAGAAAAAGCAGAACAUGUAGAAUAUUUUCUUGGGUAUAUGUGAUGAAAUGUGAGAACAUCAUAUGGGAUAAUAAUUUAAAAAAUUGUGAUUGAGUUUUUUGAGGAGAACAAUGUUAAGAGUCUAAUUAGCAUUCAGUGUGGGCAUACUCUUUCUCUCUCUCUCUCUCUCCGCAUCUGUAUCUGACGAAUCGUAAUCUGACGAAUUGUAAGUUCACGCUUCAGCACACAUUAUUUUAACCGUGUGCCAGAAUUUCAUCCAAUUUUUGUGUCUUGUUGCGCAUAAUUUUCUUCUGAAUUUUGUUUAACCUUCCUCAAUUGUCAUCGUCUUCUUCAGCUAGGGCUCUGCUUUCAAAAUUCGUUCCACAGUCGAUUUUUAUGCAUGUAAAUUUCUCAGCCCACUGCUUCGGAUCAUGAACCAAUAAAGGUCCUCAACCUAGCAAUUCAUUUUCCCUAAUUCUAAAUCUCGUGAGUAAAUAGGUAUGGUCGUCUCUCUUUAUCACACCGGCUGCUUUGAAAAUGUGGAUGGGCAGAGUUCUUCUCUACCGGUUGGCAAGGAUUUGUGAUAAAAACACGUCUGCAUCGGAGUAGGAGAUUUCUUACGUGUUUGAGCUCAUGGAUGGUGAUGAUAUGGUGGAACUUGAAAAUAUUCAGAGAAUCUUAUGCCUUGUCAAAAUAUGAGUCACUUUUAUGCCUUGUUCUCCAUAAACUCCGGAGUGCUCAUCAUCAUGAGAAUUUGGAGGGGGUGGCUCGCGUAACUCUCUUUCCGUCGUUCUCUUCAAAUUCUAGAAUAGUUUCUAAGAAGCUCUUGUUUUGAUCUUGAUUGAUUAUGUAAUGAUGUGGGGAUACUAUUAACUUCUGACCUAUGCUAAAUUUUUUCAUGGCAAGUCAAAUUAAUGAAGUGUACAUAAACUGUCACUGAAGUUGUCGCUUUUCAGGUACAGGGAGGACCAAACAGUUAGCAGAUUAAGCCAUCCUGAGCUGGUUUUCUUAGGUCCAAUGCACCCAAGGGCUCUCACUACUCUUGAAUUGGCCGGCAAAUAUUCUGACGGAGCAUUCUUUUUCAAGGUGGUGAUGAGGCCAUCUCAUGUUAAGUAUGGCUUGGUAUGAUCCCAAGCUUAUUUACUCAAACUGGCAUGUCUGGAAAUCAAAUAUAUUGAUGCUGUUUAUAUCUUUGCUUAUACUCUAGUGUAUUUCCAAGUUUACUGCAUUGUGUAGUAAACCACAUUAUAUGUUAUUUUCCUUGAAGUGUUCAUGGAUAUAUGCUUAAAACCAGGUAUAUAUUUUAACAAUGGAACAUAAGCUGGUGGUUGGUGGUUCGAAAAGAUAACAAUCAUCUCCUUUUUUUGGUGGAUAGAUGCGUUGGAAAAGCAAUUGCUGAGGCAAGUCUUGAGAAUUAGAAUCCAAGUCCUCUUAUAUGGAGAAAUUCAACAAUGUUAUUCAAUGUUGUAGAGGUAGAAUAUAUAUGCAAAUCGCACUAGGAGACUGUUAAAAUGGACAAGCAAAUUGCAAAAAAUGUUGCUGCCUCCAUAACUAAAGAGAAAGACCUAAAAGAUAAGGGGGUGACUUGUUAUGAUUUUGAAAUUUCAUUCUAGAUCUAAUGACUGAUAAUUUUGUUGUCAAAUUGGAGAUACUGUUGUCUUUUGUUAUGUUAAUCAGAUUUGGGGGGAAAAAGAUGAUUUUACUUUGUCAAAUUGAACCAAUAGAUUGAUAAAACCUUUUUGGAGCUGUGCUUGAAAGAAUCAAACAGCUUAAAAAUUUUCAAUUUCAUCCAUGUUCCAGUCAUCAGUGUGAUUACUUUUUCCCCUGUGAUUGUGGUCUAUGUGGCUGAAAUUCAUAUGUUUUAAAUAUUUAAUAGGACCUGGAAAGCUUCUUCCAAAUGUGUACCCUAUUGCAUUCCAGGAGCAUAGAUUUGACCAUGACUUUGAAUUGAUGACUUUUUUGUUAUAUGGUUUACUGUCUGUUAAACUCCUGAAACUAGCAAGUUAUGCUUAAAACUCACACUGUGUACAAUUUGAUUCUCUCAUUAGGGUUUGCUUAUGUCUUGGUCUGUUCUUCACCAUAUGUUGGUUUUUUCCACCAUGUAGAUGGGUAGUUUGCUCCUGUUCAAUUCAUCACGUAACGUGUUCAGGAAAUUAAGCAAAUUUUGACUAUAAGGUAUUCGGACAGGUCAUGGAUGGUGAAACUAGGGAGUUGAGGACGAGAUUUUUUUUGGGGGGGGUUGCCCACUUUUGACAAGAGAAAGUCAUCUGCAUGUAGAAACUCAUUGAUAGGGAUGAUUUUGUAUUCAGAGUCUACAUAUUCACUAGUGCUGGUUAGGACUUGAUUUACAUUGAUUGAGAUGAACUCUGGAAGCGUCACUUUCGCUAGUCCAAAAUGAAUUAAGUAUUCCAAAUAAUAACUCCUUUAUAUAGUCUUGAGGAAUCAAGGAAGUGUACAUCUAUGCUGAUUGGGUUUUAUGAGGUUGAUCAUAAUCCAGAUGCACAUUCAUUGAUGCCACAUUCCUAAUCUGAAUGAACUGAACAGUAUGUGCUUCAACAUGUCCUUUUUGGUUUAUGCAUUCUUGUUAUGUUGUUCUUCAUUUUGAAUUUGAAAUCAAGUCUCAUAGGCUUGUUAAGAUUAUGGGUUUUAUUUUACCUACAGGGAAUACCAAAGAGGUUCAAGAAAAUGCUUUUAAGAGAAUGGUGCAAUUAUUUGGCUUGUGGAAUUGGAAAAAUGUGAUGAGAUGAUUUGGCUAGCAAAGGGUUGGAAUGAAUUAGCGGAGCAUCACUCUAUCUUUGAGGGUCAAUUUUUGAUCUUCUAAUCUGAAGGGACUCAAUUUUCCAUGUCACCAUAAUUGAUGAAAGGAUGUCCGAGAUAGAAUAUCCGCCAAUCAAUGUCGAUGUGAGGAACUGAGCCUCAGCAAUUGGAGAAUUGCCUUGCUGAAAGUGGAAGGUGCUUUUGAUUGCCGUGAUGUUUCAGUCGAGCUUGAAGUUUGGGGGGAUGAAUUGCAUUCAGCCAAGUGUCCUCGGUUUUGUAUGGAAAAGAAAUUUAAUUAGGUUUGCGAAGUUCUUGGCAGCUCUUAUGCACAUUCAUAAGCAAAGUUUGCAGAGGCAUAGAAGUUUGAACUGCUCAUCACAAGAUUUUCAAGGUGUGAAUCUUAAUAUAGUAGCUAAUUCUCCCCUUGACUAUGUUGUUCUUGUGUUUGAUUCGAAUUCUGUACAGGAACUCUCCAUGUUGUUAGGCUAAGAGAAACUGUGUUAGAGUUAAUUCAUUCCUGUGAUGUUUCUCUAUAGUUCUCCCACGUGGAGUAAAUUCAUUCUUGUGAUGUUUCUCUAUAGUUCUCCUGCGUGAACAUAUGUAUGUGUUGGGAGAUCUAAAAAAUAAUGGAAAGCCAAGCUGGUCAUAUCAGAUUUGAUUGUGCUGAGAAUUGUAUUGGCGUACAUAUAGGCCUCAAGAAGCUAGACCAUUAUUAAGACUUAGAUCUAUUGAUUUAGCGUUGCUAUGUCGGUAGAUAUGAGUUUUACAUUACAAGAACAGAAUACGCCUAAAAAGCUAAAGCUUUAUUCAUGUUCUGUUUGCAACUCCUGCGGGAAAGCUGAGAGAGCCGGGCUUGUGAAGAGCUUGAGCCAGCCAACAAAUUUAUACUCGAUUAUCCUUUCUUCCAUAUUGCAGUGAGGUGAACAUAUCUGAAGAAAAGCAAUAUAGUAAGAUCCUCAUGACAAUGACAACUCUUGGAUUUAAAUCAGAGAGUCGCUAGACUAUGUUAGCUCUAACUAUUUAAUCAUGUGGCAACAAAUUUUUUUUUUUAUCCUUUACAUGGUUUAAAAAAAAAAUCCUCAUACUGUCUUCCUAAGAUUUCAUUGUUUGUUUUCUCCUCUCUAAUGACAAAAUUGCGAAACGUCUACUUAUACAGAGAGUUAUCGGUUCAUUCCCGAAGAAGCACAUUAAGAAAAGCCCGCACACCGUGGCUCUCAUAUUUCCACACAAAGCACGGCUGUUGAAGCUCAUCAGCCAUGAAAAUUAUGGAAAGUCAUCUGCUGGUUGGGCCGCAUUCACGAGAGAAACUUCUUUGAAGGUAAAAGACGUGUGUGUGUUUGAGCUUUAUUGAAAGGGACGAUAUCAUGUUCAGAGUAUGCAUCUUCAGAACCACUUAAAAGACUUGGCCAAUUAAUAUAUCCAUAUACUAUACAGCAGAGUUGCUAGGCUGAAUUCGGCAAAAUGGAUGAAGGCAUGAGUAUUGUUCCAAUGAAUGGAAUGGUCUUGAAUGUGUUCGAUACCUUUCCUUAAUCCUAGACUUAAUAAUCACCAUGUGGGCAGGAGUCGUAAGUUGAAGAGAGCUGAUAACUAAUGUCGAUUCUGUAACUUCCAUCUCAAGAGACAAUCUCUCAAAUUAGGUGCUUCUUUAAGGUUUCUGGUGACUUAACCUGGCCUUUAGAAUUGUAAAGGGUAGUAACAUAGAAUACACUUCCCUUAAGCCAGCGCAACCAUGAUGUACAAGCUCCUGUGAACUUACAUCAGAUUAUUUUCAUUGUCUCUUUUCAAUUUUUUAAAGAUUUUGUGAUGAGUCUUCUCACAUGUGGGCGCAAAUUGAAGUUUUUUAGUUUCUUCCCAUGCGAAGAGCAUUUGCAAUUUAUUUUGUCAAAUUAACUAAAUUGUGAUACGCAUGGCAAAGCAAUUUCCAAUCUAUGUUACAUCUUUUCAUUGGUUAGUAAAUUAAGGAAAUUUUUACACCAAUGUCUACUAAAUUGCUCAUUGUUCAACUGUGGAAAGAAGAAUUUCUAGUCACCCACGUUAUUACCCUCGGCCAUGCCGCCAAAUGAUAUGAUAUCAUAGUAUAGAUAAAGAAAGUCCCCCAGCUUGGAAGGAGUAGCUUUAUUAUUUCUAUUUAUAUAGAAAUGGCAAGUAGUCCAUAUGCUGAUUCAGCCAUUCUGAGUUGGUUUUUCAUGGUCCUACACUUCCAGACCUCUCAUUACUCCUAAAUUAGCCCGCAAAUUCGAUUUAUAACUAUCCUUUUUCAAAAUGGUGAUUCUGCAACUUAUACGAGUAGUCCGAUAAGAUCUUGGGCUUAAUUAGGCACCGGUAUACCUAGAGCUCAGUUAUCAUUGCUAGCAUCGACGAUACCACAACUGUUUUAGCAGUCGAUGUCUACUUGUUGGAGAUUUUUGUUUUCCAUUUAUACAGUGUCUAUUGUUGAAGCCAAUAGCAUCCUAGAACAAUACUCAUUAAUAACAUGUAUUAAAAAAAUGAUGUUAGCUAUUAAUUUCUUUCAUCCUCAAGCACUUUCAAACAGAUAAAUUUAUCCUUGGAUUUCUUCGACUUCAAAUCAUUACCUUCUUGCUCUUUGCCCUAUUUUAUCUUUGCAUUUCUCAUUUCAGUUAUAUAAUUUCAUAGCUCGAUCGUUCAAACAUGUAAAUGUGCAGAGUAUUCUGGAUGGAUUCAUUAAGCAACAUAUUCAGGAGAAGCAAAGAGCAACUCUUAGGCAUUCCAACAAUGAAGUUCAUCGGGAGCCAUAGACUCAUAAGAGGGGCCAUGUCUGUGUCCUUUUCUUCUGGUUGAUGUGCAUUUCGGAGAGAAACUCAUAUGCGUGUAGGAAAUGUCGGCAUGAAUGAAUGAACAAAGAUAAUCACCUGAAGGCCUGCAUUCUUUGCAGCAAUAGCUUCUCAAUAUCAUGUGCUUAUCACAACUCGUGACUCAGUACCUACACGUAACUAUGUGUUUUUUCUUCCCCACAUUUAGUGUCGAAAAUCCAUGAAGACACUACCUCAGAUCUCCAUGAUUUGUAUUUCCAGAGUCUUUAUGCUAAUCUGCCGUCAUAAGAUACAUGUAUACAAAAACAAAUGCAGCAAAUGGCCUCUCAUCAACGAAGAAGUUGCCUAGGAGUGAGCUUUUGGGGCUCACCAAUUUCAUACCCCGCAUUGUGACAGAAUGAAACAACACAUAAUAUUGACACUAAUAACCAUGAACCAAAGCAGACCCAAAACAAAUUAAUUCAACCCCUAGAACAGCAGAGCAGGUAAUUAACAAAUAGAAUUCGAUGAGACUGAAUCAUCGACUAGUUACCCUCGUUACCAGAUGGAACAACAAUUUAGAGAACAGCAGUUAAGCUAUGCAACAAUAGGUCACCCAUCAGAGUUUAUGAGGGCAAAGAGACAUCGAAUGGCAAAAGCAAUUACUACUUGGGAACAGGACAAACAUGUCCAGAAUUUGUGAAUGGUUGCUUACCCUUUCAAACAAAAGGAGACAUGAAACUUUCUGAGGCUAAAACCAAAAAUUACAAGCUGAGUUAAGUAGAGUAAUUACAAUGGUCCCAUCCUGUUAUAAUGGGCACAUGUACCGUGUAUUUUUCUGUGCUUAUGUUGAUUCCAUCAUAAUAUUAAUAUCAACUGAAAAGGAGACUUUGAGUAAACACCAAUUAAAUUUGCAACCACGCAAAAAAUUCACUCCUUGACAACAACGCAUUCAAAUAAUGCAACUAAACACACUGCAUUAAUAAAUUAGUGACCGCCAAUCUGGAAAAACCAGAGGAUGAGGAAGCACUUUGUUGGAGGGACAAACCAGAAAUGUUACACCGUUCAUGAGCAACUCUCAUUUCGCACGCCAUGAGCCAUUCUCGAGUCCGAUAGAUCCUGAGGGUGACAAGUGAUCUAACGAGGUGGGAUCCGGAAAACCUUCCUCCAGGUGGGAUGGCCAUUGUCUUCACGAGGCUUGGGAAUGAUGGGCACUGACUCCUGCUGCAGCUCCUCUCGAAACUAUAGGGACUGAUGUAUUGCCAGCCGACAUGUAGUUCAUAUUUGCAGCAGAAUUUAUAACGUAGUCAAUCGCCUGCAUAGCGGAAUUGAAUUUCAUAAACUCCACAAUAGGCCUGAGAACCUAGAAAGCAGCACCGACUUCAACUCCAGCGAAACCAACCUCUGUGAUUGCAGUAUCAACAACCCUCUCAGGUCCAUGCUUCUGCCCAAAAAAAAAAAAAAAAAAAAAAACCUCGUUAUUCUCCGACCACCUCACCCAUUAGAAAGACUCUUAGGAUCUGCAGAUAUUUCAUCGUCAAAUGCAGUAUUCAGAGCCUCUCUCACAGUCUCCCUUUCGCUGCGGUGGCAUAACUAUGUUACGGCGUUUCUGCAUCACAACUUUUCCGCAGCCUUUUUCUCAACAUCACAGCAUCGAAGCCUUUGGCAGUGGCUUUUCCUAUUAGAAUCAACAACAUCAUGCCCUCUCGAACUCGAACUUGGUCCCACCGUCAGAUAAAGCUCACUAAUUCUAUCUCUCUCUCUCGAACGGGUAUCCUUAGAAACAGAGUCCAGCUUGGUCAUUCCAUCAAGCACCUUCCUUGCAAACUCGACUGGAUUUUUCUCCGACCAAUCUUUUUUUUUUCGCAUCUCUCUCUGGCUCUGGAUUCCCCUGAUUCAUCUCCAGCAAUUCAGAUAAUCCCCACAGUAAACCUCACCAUUAGAUUCCACAUUCGAGUUGCGGCCACUCUGAUUCAAGUCCUUGCUUUCCUGUCCUUGCCCAUGUCUGGACCAGAUCUAUCUGUUGCCGGGCCAUCUCGGGCUUACGCAGCCAUUGCCGCUGAACCAUCAUCAGGACCAUUCCAUGUCUGAUUGAACUUCCGAGUCAAAUUCCAAUUCACUCCAGAAUACGUCCCGUCGACUCUUGCUUCGUUCUGCUCGCUCCCACUUCAUUGCCGCCUUUCGGAAUUCCAUUAUUCCGCCCAUCUAUGCCGCGCGGAAAGGGGGACGCGGGGUGGUGUUCGCUGUUUACAAGAGCCUUUUAUCCGAUUGCCAAGGCUGAGGUCGGAUGGAUCAUCAUCAUCAUCAUCAUCAUCUGGAUAGGAUCCGCCGAUUCGAAGGAUGAGAUUCUUUGGGUUUCGCUCUCGGCACCUCCACCGGUCCGGCGUCGCUCCUUCAACCGAAGCAGCCGAGGCCAAUCUGAGUCUGUCGUCAUCCGAGACGAUAUGCCGAGCGUGAAGAUUGGCAGCGGCGAGCACGAAGAGAAAAACAACGGAGAAUAAAAAGAAAAAAAAAAAAAGAGGCGGGAAGCGAAGGUAGGGGGUGGGAUGGAGAUGAUUUGGAUUUUGUGUGGGAAAAAGGGGCAAACGGGUGAAGCCAGUGGUUGUUCUUGGGAUGAAAAGGGAAUUGAAUUUGAAAUAAAAGAGAAUAAAAAGGAAAAAUGGACCCACCGUCGUUUCCGAAAAAAGCCGGCAAAAAAACUCCAAAUUAUAUUUAUUUUUGUUGCAUUUAUUUUUCUUUUUGUUACGCAAAAGCUCAAAAUGAUGUAUAUGGCAUAUUUACUCUAGUUCUUAUGACGUCAAAAAUCCUUAAUUUGUAAUUAUAUGAUAUAUUUAUCUUAUGUCAAGAUUUCGUCUUAUGAAUUUUAUAUUUUUAUUUUUUUGGUCGAAGUUGUUCUUAUUUCAUUUGACGUCAACACCGUUUACAUUUCUUCGUUCAUUUAGGUGGUUUUUUUUUUUAACGAUACUCAUUAACGGAGGAUAAAUGUAUUAUAUAAAUAUAGUUUGGAAUCUUGGUGGCAAAAUUUUUUUUUUAUUAAGAUGGAUGUGUCGCAGUGAGCAUAUUUUAGGAUUUUUAGUGGUUUUCCGCCUCUUUUUUUUCUCAACUUCAUCAAUAAUCAAUCACAACAAAAACGAGAAUGCAUCGAUCUCUCUCUGCUUGUCCCCUAUCGGUCAUUGCCGAGCUUCCAUCACCCCGUCCCUCCUACAUGUCCUUGGAGGUGAUUAUGUCGGUUGUUCUUGUCCCCUUUAUUGUUAGGAAGACACUUUUGAUUGUUUGUAUAAUGAAUUUGCAGCUUAAAAUUCGCUUUCAUAAAUUAUAAGAGUAUGCUUCAUGUGACUUGUUCUAGCUUGAAUGAAUAGUAUUUUAAUAUCACUUGUAAAAGGAAAAUUCCACUUUUCUUUCUCGUAAUUUCAAUUCCGAAGAAAUAUAUUUAAUUUCCACAGGUUUACUGGCUUGAGAUUUCUAUUUAAAUUUCCUAUUAUUGGAAAAUUAACCCAUUGUCAUUUCCGAUUAAUGGCGUAGGACGACUAAUGGCGUCAGAAAUGAUGGGAUUCUGAUUUUAAGUGAUCUUCGGCUGGGAAUGGGUUGUGGCCUUAUUAGCAAAUAGGGUGGGCUAGAGGAACUCCAGCCAACCAAGCUUGAUGCACUUACGACGAAAUUUCAUCUAGGGAAAGCUAAGUGAGUUGGGCCACGAACCAGAAGAGGCCCCCUUUUUUAACACCCAUCAUUUUCUAAGAGUUCUUAUUUUUUAAUUAGUUUAUCAUUUACUUUUUUAUCCAUUCUUUUUAACUGCCUUUUGUUUUUUUUUGCUAUUUUCCAUUUUUGUAAUUUUACAAGGACGGACUCUUGAAUUGUUGAUAAAAAUUCGUAGACAACAUAUGUGAUAACACUAAAGUUAAAGCCAUGGAAAACUCAGUGCUAUUGUAAAUUAGUUGUUUAACAAAUGUAUUAUGCAUUGAUUAACACAUUCCUUGUAAAUAUUUUCCACAAAACCAAAAAUAAUAAUAAGGAUAAAAAGAAAAAGCCCUUCCGCUCCUUAAAAUUAGUCAAAUUUAAUAGUAUAGAAAUCAAAAUUACAUUCUAUAUUGGCAUUACCGAAAUUUUUUUGUUAAAUUGUUACUCCCCCAUCUUCUUGCAAACUCAUCUUUAGCUCUGAUACCACGAAGUAGUUUGACACUAAAUAGUAACUAACGUAUGAAACUCCUUAAACAUUAAUGGUUAGAUUACUUACUUCCACGAAAACUAGGACAAAAAUUGGGCAUGGGGAUGAGAGAGAGUGCGUAGUGAAAGCUUGUUUAAGUGGAGUCUGAUCAUUAUUUUCCUCUUUAGUUGCAGUAAAACUUAGCACUCGUGGACAUAUAUUAAGAUCAGUUAGUGCAGAAGCCAACUCAAUGAUCGCCAAGUUAAACUAGAAAGUGCUUAACCAAAAAUUGAAAGGCAAAAGCAUCACAUGAUUCAUUCUAAAGCAAGCUCCAAAAGUGAUUGCAUCUCUUAAUAUUUCUAAAUAUAUAGAAUUUACAUAUUGAGAAAUGAUGAUGAAAAUGUUGUAGCUAGAAGCCCAAAACAAGGCAAUGAGAUACAAGCUGGUCAAAAGCCAUAACUAUAAAUCCUACUAGAUUUCAUUUCCACUAUGGAUACAAUAUAUUCCUUGGUGGGUAGCAUAAUAAUUCAAGAGUGACAGAUUAUGCAUCGAAUCGAAUAAAAUAAUCCAACCCUAGACAUAAGACUAGGAAGCACUAUGGUUCGCUUGUGAAGCCACCGGAACGAGCUACAAAACAAUUCUCAUUCAACUGAUCCGAUCUAAUACUUUGGUUUUGCAGCAAUCCUAAUGUCGAAUCUUGCGGCAACAUCAUCACCAUUGAAUCUAGCAUCAAUCGAAAGUGAAUCGAAAAAUGUCAAAUUCCAAGACCUCAAUGUUGCAUCAAAAGCGACUUAUGAAAAUUGAUGGGAAGAAAAGAAGGGGGGAGGAGCCAUGUGGUGAAAAGAGGAGGAACGGCCUACUGUUGGGACUACGGUGGCAUUGCCGAAGUGGCCCCCAAUCCUCGGAUACAUCAUAGAUCGGACUUACCAACAGCGGUGAUAGUGGUGUCGAGGGCAGUAGCAAUGACCUUGGUGUGGGAGGGAGGAGAGGAAAAAAUGGAGGGGCUUCCAAGUAGUGUGACCGGAGGGACCAGAAAAUGUGAAAUCAAAAGGGAAAACCUAAUCCCAAUUGAUUUGAGAAUUUCAGUUGCACCUAUGUAUUGUCUUACCUUCCAGUCUAAUACAUGAAUACUACCAAAAUUAUAAAUUUUGGACAAAAUUUCCCUUAUUUAAGUCGUCGGAAAACAUCAGUUGGUGGCUAGCACAUAAGCUUAGACCCUAAUUUGAGGCUAGUUUGGCCAUUUUAUGUGUGAUGACCCAAACCCGGGGCAGUAUGGAGAGAUGGACUGAGAUCGCCUUAGCAGUACACGAGUGAGGUCAAGGACAUGUCUCCAGUCCCACAUCACUUAUGGGAGAGUCUUAGGCUAGUUUAUAAAGGCUUGGGUCCCUUUAAUCUGUAUAACGCGUUUUAAAGCCGUGAGGACUCAGUGUCCAAAGCGAACAAUAUUAUACGGUGGGGCUCGGGUCAUUACAAAUGGUAUCAGAGCCGACUCCCAACUCCGUGUGGGGGCCACAGCAAGGACGUUGUGCCUUAAGGGGGGGAUAAUGUGACGACCCAGGCCUAAGGCAGUACGGAGAGAUGGACUGAGAUCGCCUUGGCAGUACGUGAGUGGGGCCAAGGGCAUGUCUCCUGUCCCACAUUGCUUAGGGGGGGGGAGUCCUAGGCUAGUUUAUAAAGGCUUGACCCUUUAAUCUGUAUAACGUGUUUUAAAGCCGUGAGGACUCAAUGUCCAAAGCGGACAAUGUUAUACAAUGGGGCUCGGAUCGUUACAUUAUAGAGCAAAAUUGACACUUUUCUUUUUCUCCAUAAAGGAAGCUUGCUAGAUGAAAAUGGAGAAGUUAGACCUGAAAGAUUUGCAGGAAGACUUCUCAGCAACUUUGACUUAGUAAAACUUUUGGACUAUUAUUACAAGAAAAUUUAUCGGAUGAUGAUUAUUGUAUCUUUUGUUAUUUCAAUUUUGAAGAGCUUGAAUGCUUUAGGAUCUUAUUUCUCUUGAAGUCUUCUUCUUUACAGGCAUAAUUGUCUGCAAAGAGCAUUCAUACGACACGCAUGGCAAAGCAAACAUCUAUUAAUGGUUAGUCAAUCAAACAAUUUUUUUACACCAACAUCUACUAAGGCUUCGUCCAUUUCGUAAAAAAUAUUACGUUUUUGGAAAAUAUUUUCUAGGAAAUCAUUUUCUAAGAAAAUGAUAAUAUUUUUCAGUGUUUGCUUGAAACUCAAAAAUGAAUUAGAAAAUAUUUUCCACCGUUUGGUUUGGAAAAUUCAAUUUGAUUUCCCUUUGUGCACUCAUUUUAACAAAUUUUUUAUCUUUUAAAAAAUCAAAUUUUCAAUUUUUUUCUUCUUACAUCUUAUUAUAUUUUUUCCUUGUAUUUUUCUUUUCUUUUCCUCCUCCUUCUUCUUUAGUUGAUCAUCAUGGUCACAGUGACAGCCGAAAAGCUUGAGGCCUUGAGCCUCACCAGAUCGACAAGCCGACGAGCCAAAGGCUCACACUCACUAACUUGGAGAGGCUUGAGCUCAAGGCCUUAGGCCUUGCUAGAUCGGUGAGCGAACUUGCUGCUCAGCAAAGGCUUGCUUGAUUGGUGAGCGAUGAGCAUAGCUUGCCAAUCUGGCGAGCCCUAAGCUCGCCUAUGGUUGGUUGCCGACAACCGGCCUAGACACAAGGAAAAAAAUAAAAAUAAAAAUUCAAUUUAAAAAAUAAAAAAAUAAAAAAAGAAAGAAAGGAAGGAUAAUGAGGGUAUGAGAUAAGAGAGAACAAGUGAGGAAAAUAUUUUCCUAAACUUAAAAAGUGAAAAACAUUUUCCUCUAUUUUAAAAGACUUUUUUUCAUUGAUAAAAAUAUUUUCACCGUCUAGUUCAUUCUUAUGAAACGAACGCUAAAAAAUUUGGAAAAUAUUUUUCUGAAAGUUAUUUUUCGUGAAAUGAACUAAGCUUAAAUUUCCACUGUGGAAAUUGGAUUUCUAGUCACCCCCGUUGCCCUCGACCAUGCUGCCAAAUGAUAUGAUAUCACAAGAAAGUCCUCCAACGUGGAAGGAGCAGCUUUACUAUUUCUAUUAUUAUAGAAAUGUGAAGUAGUCUCUCUGUAGAUUGAGCCACUCUGAGUGGGUUUUUCAUGGUCUUUCACUUCCAAGACCUCUCAUUACUUUUUCAAAAUGGUGAUACCGCAUCUUAUAUGAAUUGUCUGGUAAGAUCUUGAGCUUCAAUCAUCACCGAUGUACCUAGCGCUCAAUUAUGGUUGCACUUACAAUACCAUGACCGCUUUAGUUUUUGAUGUGCAUUUGUUGGAGAUUAUACUUCAUCUAUAUUGUGUUCAUAUAUAAUCCAAUAGAAUACUAAAAUGAUACUCAUUAUUAAAUGUAUUAGAAAAUGAUGUUAGCUAUUAAUUUCUUUCAUCCUCAAGCACUUUAAAACAGAUAAAUUUAUCCUUGGAUUUCUUCAACUUCAAAUCAUUACCGUCUUGCUCUUUGCCCUCCAAUUUUAUCUUUGGAUUUCUCAUUUCACUUAUAUAAUUUCAUAGCUCGAUCAUUCAAACAUGUAAAUGUGCAGAGUAUUUCAGAUGGAUUCAUUAAGCAACAUAUUCAAGAGAAGCAAAAAGUAACUAUGUGCUUAUCACUACUUGUGACUCGGUGCCUCCAUGUAACUAUGUCCUUUUUCUUCUCCACAUUUAGUGUUGAAAAUCCACAAAGACACUACCUUAGAUCUCCAUGAUUUGUAUUUCCAGAGUCCCUAUGCUAAUCUGCCAUCAUAAGAUACAUGUAUACAAAAACAAAUGCAGCAAAUGGCCUAUCAUCUACAAAGAAGUUGCCUAGGAGUGAGAUUUUGGAGCUCACCAAUUUCCUACCCCCUCGUUAGAACAGAAUGAACAGCACAUAAUAUUGAUAUUAAUAACCAUGAAGCAAAGGAGACCCAAGAUAAUUAAUUCAACCCCUAGAACAGUAGAGAAUGUGGUUAACAAAUCAAAUUUGACAAGAUGAAUCAUCGACUAAUUACACUCGUUACCAAAUGGGACAAUUUAGAGAAUAGCGUUUAAGCUAUGCAAUGAUAGGUCAUCCAUCAAAGUUUAUGAGGGCAAAGAGUCAUUAAAUAGCAAAGUUAUUACUACAUCGGAACAAGAGAGGCUUGUCCAAAAUUUGCGAAUGAUUGCUUACCCUUUCAAAUAAGAAGGUACGAAGAGGACAGAGGAGACGUGAAGCUUUUUGAGGCUAAUACCAAAUAUUACAAGCCGAUGAAAUUAGUGUAACAACAAUCGUCCCAUCCUGCACCAACGUUAUUAUAUUGAGCAUGUGUCAUUGAAUUAUCUCAUUUUUAUGUGCUCAUGUUGAUACCAUCAUAAGAUCAAAGUGAAAAGAAGUUUGAAUGCAUUAUCGUCAUGGAGUGGAUAGUUUGCGUGGAAAUUUACUCAAAGCAACGUAAAUAACACAUUGCAUUAAGAAAUUAGUGACUGCCAAUCUGAAAAAAGCAGAGGAUGAGGAAGCACUUUGGUUGGAGGAACUUACUAGUGAUGUUAUACAGUUCAUUUCGCCAACUCUCAUUUCCCAUGCCACGAACGAUUCUCGUGUCUGAUAGAUCCUGAGGGUGAUGAGUGAUCUAACGAGGCCAGAUCCUGUAAAGAUUCCCCCAGGUUGGAUGGCGACAUCUUCACUCAGCCUGAGAGUGAUGGGUGGCAACUCCUCUUGUAGCUUCUUUUGAAACUAUAGGGAUGACAUAUCGCCCGCUAACAUGAGUCCAUCUUUGCAGGAGAAUUUGUAAAGUAGUCAAACAACUGCACAAUGAAGUACACUCCACGACAAGCAUGAGACCAUAGAAAGCAAUGUUAAUUUCAACUCCACAAUAGGCCUAAGACUAUAGAAUUGAGGACUUGAUUACACUAAUUAAUCAGAUGGUGCCAUUUUGGUGUCUAAUGUUGUUCAUUUUACAAAAAGAUAUUUAUCAAGCAAUUUGAAUUGAUUUUAGAUCUAUCCCUAAUAUGUGAUUAUGAGGGUGCGCAAUUAUUAUAAUUGCAACUAGCAACCAAGGACAUCGAAUAAAUUGCAUGACAAAAUGAGCAUUUAACACUAAUAGAUAAGAAAGAUAUCAUUCCUAACUAGUCUAGGCGUAAACGACAAUAUAUAUUGAAAAGUGCGUAAUCAAGUGAUAAUUCUUGUCAAAAAAGAAAACAUUGAAAUCCUAUGGCAAAGCCCAAAGACUUUGUUUAAAUAUUGAGCAUGAUUUUUUUAUCAAUGAUUUUCCACAAUUUUAAGAGAAGACUUCCCAAAAGACUAUUUUAAAGCUUUUUUCAAGGAAUUCUAUUUUUCAAAAGCUUUUUCUAAUUUUUCAGAAAAUUUAAAAUUUUUAAUUCUUCUAAUUUAUAACUUUUUUUAUAUUUUCGAAUCUUUAAUAAAACUAAUUUUUAUUCUAAAAUGGGGACUCUGGCUGGGCCCCCAAGGCCCUGUCAAAAGCAGGCUGCCGUCUGAUACCUCGUGGGUUUGGCAAACCAGGCUUUCAACAAGCUCAAUUUCAAACUAAUCUAAGCCCACCUUUUGAAAUAAUUAUACGGGAGAAUUACCAAAAAAGUCCUAAACCUAUUGUAAUUGUGCCAAUUCAGUCCUAAACUUUUUUUUUUAGCCAAUUUAGUCCUAAACCUUUUACAGCUGUGUCAAUUCAGUCCAUCCGGCCAAAAUUGGCCGGCCGGCGCUGACGUGGCAUUUUUAAAUAUUUUUUUUUAUUUUUUUUCGAAUUUUUAAUAUUUUUUUGGAAUUUUUUAAUUCUUUUUUUUCUUUUUUUUUUCCAUAAUCUUCUUCACCUCUCCGGCCGGCCGGCGCCGGCCGGAGGCGAGGGCCGGCGAGGCUCGCCCCCCGCCGGCCGGAGGCAAGGGCCGGCGAGGGCGAGGCCCCGCCAAAUCUGGCGAGGUCAGCCUCGCCAGCCAAUGGCGAGGCUCGCCCCCCGCCGGCCGGAGGCAAGGGCCGGCGAGGGCGAGGCCCCGCCAGAUCUGGCGAGCUCAGCCUCGCCGGUCGUUGGCGAGGGCGAGGCCCCGCCAGAUCUGGCGAGCUCAGCCUCGCCGGCCACUGGCGAGGGCAAGGCCCCACCAGAUCCGGCGAGCUCGGCCCUCGCCAAGGCUGGGGCGAAUACGGGGAGGGAGAGAGAGACCUGGAAGAGAAUAAGCGGCGGAUCGGGGGAGGCGGUCGACACUGCGGGGAGAGGGAAUCGGGGGGAGGCGAACCGACUUGAGGAGACGACCGGACGAAACUCGCGCUCCGCGACGAAGAAGACGAGUCCCUCCGCCGAAUUCCCCCCGAUUCGCCCCACCAGAACGAACGGCUCGGCUUGAUUCCGACCGCCGCGAAGCUCUUAGAUUCCGUCAGCCGAACCUCCGCGUCAAUGGCGGCGUCCGCUUGCAACCGAGCGAUGCAGCGAGCUUCGACGUCCCUCGGACCGGCCCUCAAAUCGGGCGUCCGAUCGUCUCCUCAGCUCGGCUUCGCCUCCCCCCGAUUCCCUCUCCCCGCCCGGUCGACCGCCUCCCCGCCUCCGCCCCAGCCUUGGCGAGGGCCGAGCUCGCCGAAUCUGGCGAGGCCUCACCCUCGCCAGCGGCCGGCGAGGCUGACCUCGCCAGAUCUGGCGGGGCCUCGCCCUCGCCAGCCCUUGCCUCCGGCCGGCGGGGGCGAGCCUCGCCAUUGGCCGGCAAGGCUGACCUCGCCGGCCCUCGCCUCCGGCCGGCGCCGGCCGGCCAGGAGGCGAAGAAGAUGAUGGAAAAAAUAAAAAAGAAAAAAAAAGAAUUAAAAAAUUCCAAAAAAAAAUUAAAAAUUCGAAAAAAAAUUUAAAAAAAAUUUAAAAAUGUCACGUCAGCGUUCGCCGGUCCACGUCAGCGCCGGCCGGCCAAUUUUGGCCGGAUGGACUGAAUUGACACAACUGUAAAAGGUUUAGGACUAAAUUGGCCAAAAAAAAAAGUUUAGGACUGAAUUGGCACAAUUGCAAUAGGUUUAGGACUUUUUUGGUAAUUCUCCCAUAAUUAUACUAAGCCCUUCGACUAAAUACCAAAACCAGCCCACAUUUGCCAAGCUUCAACUUGAGUCCAACGCCCACUAAUCCCAUCGCCUAAUAGGUCAGCCCAAAAUCUCUGAUUUCACUUCCUCAUUCAUUCUGCCCUCCACGCCCCUCUCCACUGUUCCUCUCUCUUACGUUGUUCAUGUCCUCAUCUUCCGGCUCGAAGACGGCGACAAGCGGGCAAGCUUGUGACAAAUCGGGCUAUAUGGUAUGCUGCCUUGGUAUCUUCGAGCCACAAUCCUCGGGCAAGGGAGGAUUGAACCGAAAAAGAAACUCAUUGGCGACACAGAGAUUUGGGAGCGAAAGACGGUGUGCUCGAGCGCAUCAACCAGAGGUUGUCGGAGAGGGUUCGAGUGCGGCAGAGCUUCUGGAGAACUCCUUCUCGCUGUCGAGUUUCACUCUCCUCCUCAACUCUCGCUCGGAUCUCCCACUGUUCUCCGAACCUUCCUCGUUCGAUUCUUCCGGCCGUGUGAGAGAGGAGCGCACUUGACUAGCCCCACCUCCAGUCCUUCACCACCGCGACGUCACCUCCUCCACCACCGGAACGCUACCACCACCAAAGAUGUCGAGAGCACAGUCGGUUCUCUCUCUCUCUCUCUCUCUCUCUCUCUCUCUCUCUCUCUCUCUCUCUCUCUCUCUCUCCAAGAACCAGCCUCCCUCUAGCUCACCCUCUCUCAAGCUCGUCUCCUUCUUGAGCAAUGCUCGCCGUCUAUGGUUUUCAGCCAAACCCCUCAAGAAACAGCCCUCGCCCUUUCUCUCCAUCUGUUUUCAGCCGAUCAAGAAGCCCUCUCAAGCUCACUCCCUCUUUCUCUCCUGAUCUCACUCACCGGAUCUCUCUCUGUCUCUUCUCUCCUCUCCCCCGAUUCUCUCCCGAGCUCGAGGAAAUAUCUAGUGGUUUGCUCUCACCACGUCAUCAACUAAUGUGGCGAGCAUUGUUUUGCUUCCAUCCAAUUACAGCUUGGAACAUAUUUGCUAAUAUGGAAUUUGAUAUGGCUAGUAGAAUAUCUAGAGGGGGUGAAUAGCUAUGAAAACAGAUUUUUGCAAAAUGCAGUAAAAAUGCUAUACUUUUAAACUGAGUCUGAUUGACUGUAGACUUUGCAUAAGGGUUCUGAAUUUAACAACUAUUAAGUAUAUCGCAAUAAAUAAAGUAAAGGAGUUUCCACUAAGUCUGAUUGACUGUAGACUUUGCAUAAGGGUUCUAAAUUUAACAACUAUUAAGUAUAUCGCAAUAAAUAAAGUAAAGGAGUUUAGGGAAGAGAAAAAUAAACACAAGAUUUAUAUUGAUUCGGCUUAGAUCAAGUCUACGUCCACUCUCCCACGCUGACAGCCUUCUGGCUGGUUUCCACUAUGAAUCGAAAGAGAAUGUUACAACCCUAUGAUCUCGACUUUUCAAUGAAGUGAUUCUACUACUCUCACAAAAUCACUCUCUAGAGUUUCUCUCUUUCGAAUACAAUUUUAAGCACUAAAUAAUGAGACAAGUGAUUUGGAAGCUUUAGACUUUGGAAUUUUUCUUUCACGCCCUCCUCGAAUGACUUGAUGAACCUCCUUAAAUACUCCUCUAUGCCUUCUCAACCGUUGACACUUUCCAGAGAAAUUCUUUCAAUCAACCUAUUGGAUAGAAUCAAUCAAGGAGAUCUCAAGCCAUUUGAAGAUUGAGAUGAAAGCUCGUCAAUCAUAUUCGCUCAUACAAGCAAGAUCAUGAUUUCCAUAAGUAGAUUCUUUCCAAAUAAGCUUGCCUUCCAAAAUGAUGUGCUUCUUCGAAAUUGAUUCCCAUUAAGAUUAAAUAGCAUUGUUUCAUGUAAUUUUAGUUCAUAUCACACCAUCACCCUUACAUAUAAGAUAAUCAGUCAUGAUUAGACUGACAUGUGAAACAAAUGAGACAAAACUUGGCCGAGAGAACUUGAUUACACUAUUCCUCAAAGAGUUAAGAUUAAAUUGGUUCAAUUGAAAUGUUUAAAACUCGAUUACAUUCCGUAUAAUAUGUUUAAUACCGCUUGUGCAAUUUUCUCAGCAUACCGAAACACUAGUACCUCAAAUUUGAUGAAAAUAGAAGAUUCUUGUAUAUGUCUUCAUAUUGAUCAUGACACAAUCUUAACCUCGUAGAUUUCAUAAUAUCUCAAAUAAAUUGAUAAUUUGCUCUUGUCAAUUUUGAUCGUCUAAUUUGAUGUCCUCCCUUGAUCGUGAAACUCUAUUUCCACACGUGAAAAACUCUAUGCUAUUAAAGUAAUUAGAUAAAGUGAUGUUUUGAAGAUAUUUGGGUUUCAACAUUUAUCAUAUGGAUCUCAAGUGAAGAUCACAUAAUAGAAAGUGUGAGAUCAUUUGGGCUUAUGAGGAUAGGGUUCAUGCAAUUAAAAAACCAUUUCGAGUCUGCAAAAUUUGGCUCCGAUGGCAAUAAGGAACAUCCUUCACUCAUCUGUCAAGAUCAAUAUGAUCUUUUCUAUUUUCUUAUUUUUACAAUUGUUUAAGUUGAAAUAGCUUAUCUUUUUUCAUAUUAUCUAUUUUUUCUCAUUGUCUGUGUUUAUAUUUUGAUUUUUUGUAUUUAUACAUUGCUUUUUCAAAUAUGCAUGUGGGCAGAUAAUUCUCUUUGCAUUAUUCAUGGAAUCUAUUAAGAAAAAUAAUUGAAUUGCAACUCUUAGGCAUUUAAACAAAUCAUGCAUGAUGGAGCCGAAGAUCCAUCACAUCUUGUCAAAAAGUUGAGGACUGAAUUGUAUUUACCUUAUUCUCUACCAAGUCUGAACUAUAAUCAUGAGAGUUUGGUAGUGUCUCUUGUACUCUUAUAAGCCAUGUUUUUUUUUUCUCAUAUUGUCUUUUGACUAGUUUUAGUUAAAUCGCAUCUUCUACAAACGGCAGGUACUUAAAAAUAUGAGACCCUAUCAACAAUGAGCAUUUUAUGUCACGUGAUUUGAUGAUGGCAUUCAGUUCCCUUGCUCUAUACUUUCGUUUUCUAUGGCAUCAUUGUUAAAGUUAUUAUUUCCAAGAAGGCUACAAUGCAUAAUUUCCCCAGUCCAAGAUUGAACCAUGUAUACAAAAGUGGGGUCCAUAUGUACUAUUUUGUCUUAUAGAGCUCUAUCGUUGGAGAAUAUCUUUGCAUGUUGCUUAGGCCCAGAAGAAGCAAUUAUUUAACUUGACAUUAAAAGUCAAGAUAAUACAUGAAAAGUCAAUACUUAUUUUCAACAUAUGGUAUUAAUAAGAAGAACAUUAUUCAAAAUUGCUAUUAAUAUAUAAUCUCUACAUUGGCAUGUCGUCGAGAUCACCGAUCCCUUUAAUAUCAUCCUGAUGGCACAGUAGAGACAUGAAGCGGGAGGAUUCUGCAGUAGAUGAUUUGCAUCUCAUGUAUUAAAAAGGGAUUGAAAGAAUUAAAAUAUAUACACACACAUACACAAUGUACAGGCACAAUUGACCGAGAAAAAAGAGUUCAAAGACCUACCGACAAUUUUUGCAAAAAUAUUCAAUUACUACUAUGCCUAAAUUCCUUAUUAAUUAUCAAAUCCUACUCCAAAUCUAGUUUGAGCCAUCAUUUAUUUUUUUGGAAAAUGUAAUGAACGAAAACCGUUUCUUUUAUUUCACAUGUUGCCCUAUUAAUUCGUGCAUGAUGCGUUGAGUCUGCAAAUUACCUCUACUUUGUGGGCCAAUGCCAACACAUGUCCCUUCAAGCUCCAUUGAUGUGCCAUCAAGUUCCUAUUAGUCUUCGCCGAAGAAGAUGUGUUUGUUCGAUACUCCUCAAAAGGUGCGACCAUCCAAGUGCAUCGAGUCCAUUCAAAAGUUCAAUAAUAUGAUUCUAGUGGAUGCAUCAGGAUAGACUAUUAAAGUGCGCGAAAUGGAACAACUCGUCUAUCAAUUUGAAAGAGGAAAGGACGAAAGUUUUGAUAGCUCAAUGAAUACUUCGAGUGAAUAGAAACACCUCACUAGGGGUGCUGUGUAAGGCAUCUUGUCUUGCACAAUGCCUCAUAGGCGUGCAUUAUUGAGUCCACUUUGCAUUGUUGGUGCGAGACUUGCUCUCUCUUUCUCAAAAGAAAAGUCAAAGGAAAUUAUCAAUUGAAUCUAGUGUUCGAAAAUAAUAGAUAUAAAUACAUUAAAAUCAUAUCAAUAAGUAAUUUUUGAAAGAGCAAGAAUAGAGAGGUAUUAAAAAUAUGGCAAUUUUAUGAUAGUUAUUUCACAUUCUAAUUUAAUAAUUAUGAUGGGCAUAAAAAUCAGAUAACUUCAAAUUUAUUUUGUGAAUUGAGUUUUUUUUUUCACUUAAAUGGAUGCCUAGAGGGGCUUUCUUUUAAGAAAUCUGCAAAGAUAAUACAUGAAAAGUCAAGACUUACUAAUGGUUAAUAUUAGUUAGACAUAAGGAUCUAAGUUAGCCAAAGUCUAAUGUGUCAAUAAGGAGAACAUUAUCAAAAACUGCUAAUAGAUAUAUAAUCUCUAUAAUGGAAAAUCAUCAAGAUCACUCAUCUUUUGAACUCUAAAAGGUACAUUACAUACCUCAUGCAACAUGAUUAAUUGAAGUGAAGAGAGAAGUUUGUUCAUUUGGGCCUCAUCAAGAGAGUUGUCAGUUUUAGCUUAAUAAUUGGCAACUCUUUUGCUUAAUGAAUCGUUGCCUCAAGAGGGGUGAAGUAGGGAAGUAAUGUUUGUCAACUGUAAAAGGAAAGAGGCCAGACAAGUGAGGGCACCUGGUCAGUUCAUGCAUUUACGAAAACUUAUAUGUUUGUCCAAUAGUGAUGGACGAAAGGACGCAAAGGUAGACAUCGGCGAUGGUGACUAGUCAAGGAAAUGAAUAGUAAAAUGCAGAAAUCCAUCUAAGCUCUUGCAACCACUCUCUAUUACUCUCUCUCCCUCUCCCACAACUUACCCUAAUUAAAGCAAUCUUUCAUAUAUUUGGAUGGUUGUCCAUGAGUGUUAGGGAAAUCCCUUAUGAUGUUUUGAAUAUAACAAAAUAAAUCAAAGGCUACUAACAUGUUUGAUGGUUGAGUAAUAGACCAUGCAGAUGUUAGAACAUGUAGAGGAUAUUAUCAAAGUCAGAAGACGGCCAGAAGACUGAACGUAACAUAUGUCCAGAGUAUAUUUUGAAGAUUUCCAAACUUCUGUGUCAAAGUUUGAAGACUGCUAAACUCAAGACUCAAAGUCUGAAUAUUGCCAGACUCAAGACUCAAAGUCUGAAGACUGCAAGACUUUAAUGUCAAAGUCUGUUCUACAUCAGAAAUCUGCUCACUCUGACAAAUUCCAGACUGAACAUGAAUGAUGAACCAGAAGACAAACUCCAUGCCGAAGCUGAACUGGGUACAGACCUUAAAGCUAAAUCUUUUCAGAAGCAGAAUAUGUUCAGACACAGAUUGUAAAGUCUACAGACUCAGAUUGUAAAGUCUAUUGCUCUCAGACUUUACAUACAGAUUCGAUGAAACGUAACUCAAGCCCAAUCAUAUAACGGCUAGUGAUCUGGUUUGGAUUCCACAUCAAGAUUGAUUUGAUUGAUUCAAUCUAAUUGAUUGACGAUUGGAUCUUGAAAACAAGAACUUUCUAUACGAAGAAUCUUUACUUAUGGAAACCAAGAUUUCGUUUGUAUGGGCGAUCGAAAUCAAUUUGGGAUUCUAUCUUUGUCACUCAACGGCUACCAAAUCUUCUAGAUACAGAGCUGUCCAAUGGGUAUAUUAGAAGACGAUUCUCCGGGAUGUUGUCCAACGGCUAGUUUGGAAGUGGAGGAGUAUUUAAGGAGAUGAAGGACCGAUGAGCAAGUAAGAGACGAAGCGUAGAAUUUAUAAUUCCAAAGUCUGAGCGAUCUUCACUUGUCUCUUGUGAGCUUAAACAUUUGUGAUCGUGAGAGAAAUACCAAAAGAGUGACUUAGUGAGAUAGUGUGAUCUACUAAGUGUUUGCACUCGAAGUUGUAAUCUCUUAUUGAUUGCAUAGUGGAAUCCAGCCAAGAAGGCUGUUAGCGUGGGAGAGUGGACGUAGGCUUGGAUUAAGCCGAAGCACUAUAAAUAUUGUGUUCUUAUUCUCUUCCCUAACUCCUUUGUUUGAAGUUUAUUUUAUUCCGCAUAUAUUUGCCAAGAGUUAUUUUAAACACCUAUUCACCCCCCUCUAGGUGUUCAUACUAGCACUCUCAAUGAGCAGUGAAAGAAGGAGGUGGAGACUUGGACAUUAGUGAUGGGAAUUGAUCAAGGAACAGUAAAUUGUAAAAAAAAAAUCAUCCAUUAUGUAUAUAUACUUACAUUUUAUGAGUCAUCUAUAUCUAUCACUGGGUUGUUUAUAAGAUAUAUAUCGUUCGUCUUGAUGGAGGCAAUCGACAUAUAGAGGCCCUCUUGUAUUUUUUUUUUCUUUUGGUCAGUGAUGACAUGGGGGCAAUCUACUUACCACUCAACUUCCCAAGUGGAUCUCCAUCCAUACCCUAUCUCCUCUUUCUUCCUUGGGUUUUUGAGUCAUUCUUAAAUUUCUAAAUCAUCAAAUAGCUAGUAUUAGAACUCAGCCGUUUAUUGCAAAAUGUUGCUAUUUUUCGACGCUCCUUGUCCUUAAAAAAAAUAAAAGUGAAAGAAAAAUUAGGGUUAUAAAUUAUCAAAAGCCACAUAGCUUUAUUUAUCAAUAAGUGUAUAUUUUUGUAAAAUUUUAAAACUAAUUUGUGAUAAUUGCAAUAUUUGAAAAUAAAUCUUAAAAGUAAAAUACCCGAAAUAGACCCAAGCAUUUGAAAGAAAAGUGGAAAACUCCAAUUGGAAUGACAGAGCACUGUAAGUGGUGACUCAAAUUGUUUCCCAUAUUAAUGCUAUCCCGUAAAAAGUAGCAUUGUUCAAAAAAGUAAACUGGUUUAGAUGUUUAAUUUACUUAGAAGUUUUGAUCUAAAAUGUUAGUGACAACUUCAAUCGUUUCCCAUUAAUUGUGUCCCAUAAAGAGUAGUAUUAUUCUAAAAAGUAAACUAGUUUAAAAUGUUUAAUUUACUUAGAAGUUUUGCUCUAACAGUUCUAUAUGAAGUUCCGUCUAAUAUAACAAUUGCAAUUGACAUUCUAGUCUAAUAAUUUGCUUGGUUAUAAUUUUACUUCUAUCACAAAAAAUUCAAACUGAUAUACUUAUGACAAAUUUACCCUAAAUGAAAAACUUCAAAAUAAUACACCUGUAAUAAAUUUACUCUCAAUUAGUUUAUUUUAAAUUUUACCCUAAAAUUAUUGAGUUAAAUGACAUAUGACAGCUGACAGAUAUACCAAUUUAGAUUUUUACCUUAUGUCUAUCACAUUUAUACUAGUUUUGGGUUUUACCCUCUAUUUAUCACAUGUGUACUAGUUUGUCACUUUUCGUGAUAUUAAUCUAAUUUCACAUAAACUAGGGAAGAAUAACUUGAUCAUAAAUGUACCAAUUUAGAGUUUUUGAGAUUCAAAAAGUUAGUUUUUGAUAAAUUUAUCAUAAGUGUAUCGGUUUAAGGUUGUUGGUGGUCAAAACAAAAUAUUAUCAAUUUAGAGUUUUUCAUUAUAUAAACAUUUUUUAAUAUGAUUUCAUUGACUUUCACAAGGAGCGGAUUUAGGAUUAGUACCUUAUUGGUGUUUGUCCAUUGAUAGUGAAGGAAAGGAUAAAAGGAUGGUUCAAAACUACUACAUUAGCAGUGGGAAAGGAGGAAAGGAUGGAUAACUCAUCAAUGUUUGUCCAUUAGCGGUGGAGGAAAGAAUGGAGACAAGGACACUGGUGACGGUGAGGGUGAGAGUGCAAUUUAGUAAUCAUUAUAUUCCUCAAACAAUUUAUGCUUAAAAAUAUAUUUUUUUCCAAUUCUAUUCCCUUGCCAAGUUUCUAAGCAUUUGAAUGUAUUUAAUAACUGUGUAAAAUUUUUAUUCCCGGAUUAGAAAUAUGUUUAGUACAAUCCUAAUUUUUUUUAUUUUACUUAGAAUUUUUUAAUUUUUUAAUAAUUUUUUCCUUUUCUUUUUCUUCUUCCUCUAGCCGGUCGCCGGCUAUAGGAAGAAGAAGAAAAAGAAAGAGAAGAAAAAAUACUUGAUUCUUGAGUCAUUCUUAGGAACAAAUAAAUAAUUUUUUUUUCUGCUUCUUGAUUCUAUUCUAAAUUUACUUUAAGAAAUAAUUCUAUUUUCCAGAACAAAAACAUUACCAAACAGGGACUAAAGGAACAACAAUGUAGAAAAUCAUAUAUUUCUAUGCUCAAAGUAUUGAUUGGUGUUUAGUUAAGGCCUAACUAUAGUUAGGUUAGCGAGCUCCAUGAUCUAUGCCCAUCUCCUCUCUUUUUUUUUCUCGUGAUUUGAGACUUUGCUACAAAAUCAUUCAUUUAUAUGUCCAUUAACUGGUAUUUACAUUUUAAAAUAUUCAUUCAAUAGUCAUGCCUUUUAAUCGAUCACGUAAGUAUCAUAAUUUUUUUAGAAUUUUUAAUUUAAAUACCGGAAAUCUAAUGUGAUGUAAUAUUUUGGAUGAACGCUUUGAAAUAUUUGUGACACUUAAAUUAGUACUGCACAAUUGUACUGCACAAUUAUUAUAACACGUGCUAUCCUUUUCUCGAGAUCUUUAGCAGCAAAAUAUGCAAGGAAUCAUGAGAUUGAUUGAUAGGUCUAGCAAGCCCAGUGUAGCAUGCAACCACUUAGACUAAUUAUCAACUUUUCCAGCAAUAGCUUUGCACUCAAAUCACUUCGCCUUCUUCUUCUUUCAACGUUCCUGGUCUGUUCCAAUCUUUCUUUCUCUAAAGAACAAUUAGAGAAAAUUCCGAUCGAUGUUGUUGUUGAGAAUAACUUGAAAAAUUAUAUUGAAUUCAUAUCAUUAAGUAGUUUUUAAAAGAGCAAGAACAAGGAGACAUUAACAAAAUUCCUACCAUAUCAUCAUAUGACAAUUUUAUGAUAAUUAUUUAACUUUAGGAUUGGCGCAAUUUUAUGAUUAUAUAAUGACACCGAAUGCCAAAUACACUUACUCUCUUUAACAUCAAUCCCUCCUCCAUCUUUACACUGGCCUGCAAUCUGUAGCGACCUCCAAUUCAGUCGCCACCCUUACCUCACAGCUGACGUCGAGGUUGAGGCCCACUGUAUUAUCAAAAUAUACUUAUUCCUUAUAAUAAAAAAUUCCGCUUGCUUAACACUAGGAUUAGUGCAAUUGGGCGAGGCGUUGUGGGAUUUCUAACUCAGGGACUGGAGGUCAUUUGAAUCUACAUGCAAACUGUUCAGGAUUGAGCCACCUAUACAAGCUAAAAACAUGAACUUAAACUGUUCAUGAAUCUUGCAAGAUAACUUAUGGGCUUUUAGAUAAACUGGUUAUCAUGUCCGGGCCCUUAUGAAAGAAUUGCUUUUAUUUAGGAUGAUUCUAACUUUACAUGAUAAAUUUUUUAUAUGCACCUUGUUAUUAUGCAAAUUGUCCUUAAGAACUUAAUUACAAGGAAAAUGUUCCUCAUGACUUUAAUUAGUCAUAACAUUUUUUUCAUUAGAAAUUUGUCAAGAUAUUUUCAAAUAGUCAUAAUAGAAUACUGAUUUAGGAGCAAUUUCACAGUCUAAUCUAAUAAUUAUGGUUGGCAUAGAAAUUAAAUAACCUGAAUUAUUUUUAUUCACUUAAAGGGACGCUUUGAGUGGCUUUUUCUCAACCAAUAUGGGAAAGAUAAUACAUGAAAGGUUAAGAUUUAUUUUCAAUUUAUGAUUAAUAUUAAUUAGAUAUAAGGGUCUAAGUCAGCCCAAAUCUAAAGAACGUUAUCAAAAAUUGUUAUUCAACAUAUAAUAUUUAGAUUGGCAAAUCAUCGAGACCAUUCCCCUUAAACCCUUGACAGGACAUCUCAUAUCCUAGCGUGACAAGGGUAAUUUGAGUUGAAGCCAAAGCAUGUUCACUUGGUUCUCAUCAAUGGAGUUGUCAGUGUUAGGUUAAUAAGUCACAACUCUUUUGCUUAAUUGAUCAUUUCCUCGAGAGGAAUGAAGUGGGAAAACAAGGUUUCUCAGCGGUAAAAUGAAAGAAGGAAGACAAGUGAGGGUACCCGGUCAGUUGCCAUACAUUUACGUACACUUUGAUCUUUGUCCAGUAGUGGUGGACGAAACGACGUGGAGAUAGACAUAAGUGAUGGUGACUGGUCUACCAAAGGAACAGUAAAAUGCAGAAAAUCCAUCCGCUUCUAGAAGAGGGACCUGUCAUGUUAAAGUCCAUAACUUUGCUUGUCAAUAAUCGUGUUUUGAAAAUUUGCAAUAUUUGGAAAAUAAAUGUUUGAAGAAAAAGACUCAAAACAGACCCAAGUAUAAAGAGAAUGGGGAAACUCCAAUUGGAAUGAGAGACCACGUAACAAAAUUUGUAGUGCAUUGAAAUGUUUCCCAUAUUGUUUUUGUCAUGUAAAGAGUAGCAGUAAUCAACAAAGUAAUCUUAAUAAAGAAUGGCAAAAGUUUAAUUUACUUACAAGUUUUAAUCUAUCAAUUUUAAUUGAAGUUACGUCCAAUGUAACAAUUGCAAUUGACAUUCUAAUCUAACAACUUGCUUAAUUAUAAUGUUACUCCUAUAUUUUAGAUAUGAUUUCAUUGACCUGCGCAAAGAGCGGGUUUAGGACUAGUACCAAGCAGUGUCUAAUUAAUGAUGGAGGAACAGAUGAAAGGAUGGAUUAGAAUGAAUACAUUAGCGUUGGAAAAGGAUGAAAGGACCAUUUGCAGUGUCAAAGAAUGAAAGGAUGGGUGACUCAUCAAUAUCUGCCAUCAGCGGUGGGGGAAAGGAUGGGAGUGGUGAUGGUAAAUGGUCCACUAAAGGAACAAUAACGUAGAAAAUCAUCCAAUUUUAUGCCCAAGGAAUCGCCUGGUGUUUAGUUAAGGCCUAAACUAAGGUUAGGUUAACGAGCUUCAUAGCCUAUGCCCAUCUUCUUUUUUUUCCUUGAGGGUUAGGUCUUUGCUAUAAAAUUCAUCCAUUUCUAUGUCCAUCUAUUGGUGUUUACGUUUAAAACUUAUUUACUUAGGUGUCAUAACUUUCAAUUAAUCACUAUCAGUCAUAAAAUUUCAAGUAGUCAUAAUAAAUAAAAGGAUUUAUGAGUAACUUGACAUUAUAAUCUAACAAUUAUGGUUGGCAAAAAAAGAUUAAACAACUUCAAUUUUUCCUUAUGCACCGAGUUUUUUUUUUCUCUUUCACUUGAAGGGAUGGCUAUGAGGUGCUUUCUAUCAGCAAAUUUGUGAAAAUUUGAAGGACAAUCCACAAAAAGUCAAGACUUAUUUUUAACUAAUGGUCCAUAUUAAUUGGGUAGAAGGGUCUAAGUUGGGCCAAGUCAGAUAUGUCAAUAAGUAGGAUAUUAUCAAUAAUUGCUAUUUAAUAUGUAAAUCAAUAACACAUUUUACAUUUUAGAGAUAUUUCGAUUUAUGUACCACUUUGAAAACUAAAUUCAAUUUUUUACCAUUCACUUAGCUUAAUUAUAAUAUUAACUUCUAUAUUUUUUAUAUGCUUUCACAACCCACACAAGGAAUGGGUUUUAGGACUAGUACCUAAUUAUUUUUUGCACCCAAAACCCUUCGCCUUCUUCGUCUUUUGUCAUUCUUGCUUUGCUGUGCUCCUUCAUCAUUCUUUUUACAUCUCUGUUUUUGUCCCUUUCUUUCUCGAAAAAAGAAUUAAAAAAAUAUAUAAUUAGAUCAAUACAAAAAUCAUAUUUAACUCAUAUCGAUAAGUAAAUCAUUGAUGCAAGGAUCUAAGUUAUGAUUCAAUGAGCAAGAACAUAGAGCCAUUAGAAAAAUUCCAACCAUAUCAUCAUAUGUCAAUUUUUAUAAUCUGAUAUGAGUAUAUAUACCUCAAAUAAUCCACCUCUCGAGGAACUCCAUCAAUUUUACUUUUUAACUCCUUUUCUUUAAAGUGGAAGUCAUGAUGGCUUUUUCUUGGAUUGCAACAAACUUUAACGUUAAAUAUUUUGGACGACAACGCAUAAUCAAUGAUGAUAUUGACAUGCUUCUCUAAUCUUUCAUUGAUGCCCAAUCAACAUUAUCAGUAAAUACCACUUUAAAGUGAAAGUCAUGAUGGUGUUUUUUUUUUUUUUUUUGCACUGAAGGGUGAAAUUCACCAAGACUAAAAAAAAUAAAAAAUUCCUCUAGUGGGCCUUCCAUUCCACUAAAACCUUUGAAAAAUGGUUAGGAAGAUCUUCUAAAGUUGUUGUGAUGAUUGGUGUACGAACAUGCAUGUUGGGUGGGGGCUAUUUAUGCGCCCAAUUUAGCUUAAAUCACAUCCGUCUAAGUAAACUCAAUCAUUAAUGGACCCGACUUUUAUUUCAAAAGAGAAUAAUAAAUAUGCCCUUUUCAUUUUCUCUCUUAUCUAUUGCCUUGUUUAUUUUCUUAUUUACUAUAGACAUUUGAUAAGAGAUUCUGGUUUGAAUUUUUUCACCUACUCUUUUGAUUCCACAAAUUUGUUUAUGUAAGAAUUUAUCUGAAGAACGUAUUCAGCCUUUGAAUCAUAGAAAAAAAAAGGCUGAUUUGUUUAAAAGAAGAUUGGACCAUAAGCACGUUCUGAAAUAUUAAAUUAAAUUUAUGCUUUCAUCAAGCUUUAGCUAUAAUUUUUUCAAAAUAUCAUGAUCAAAUGUCCAAUUCUUUUUAUCAUUUCUAGAAGAGAUCAUUUCAACAAGUUAAUUUGGCAAUAAAUUUUAUUUAGCUGAGUCCAUAUGUUAGUGAACUAAUAAAGGAUUCUCUUUAUACAUAUAUUGGUUUUGACACAUUAGAAUUUUUUUUUAUAGCUAAUACGUUAUUCCACGCUAAUAAUGCUAGAAAGUGUGGGGGAUCACUGGGUGAGAGUUUCAUUUUGUGCAUAUUAAUUCCUUUUGUUUCGCUGCAUCUCUAUAGUUAUAUUAAGAGUAAUGGUAGUUGCUAUCCAGAAGAAAGAAAUACGGAAGCCCGUCCAUAAAUUCAACUUGUUGACCAUCCAGAAUCUUUUGGCAUAUGAUAUGAUGCGCAUAAAAAAUUGAUUUGACGGCCAACUGCGUGAAGUUACAAGUCACGUGUUCUCUCUUUGUCAAACAGUACAGCUUGGUAAGCGUUAGAACUCCAUGUCACGUGGGCGCUGACACACCGUGUAAACUACAUAUCCCGAGGGGAGGGUCGAAUCACCUGUUCACUACUUUAACAGCUGAUAAUCAUCUCUUUCUCCCUUCAUUGCCAAUCCACGCUUCCCUUCCCUCAUCCUUUUUCUCCGCUCAAAUCUCUUGGCUUUGUUCGUCUCUUGCUCUGUUUCGCUCUUUCUUCUCCUCGGCUCAACCAUUCUUCUUCUUCUUCCUCCUCCUCCUCCUCCUCUUCUUUAGUUUUUGCUGCUCUUCUCCCUCUCCGUCUCUCUUUUUUCUCGCUCUUUCUUUCUCAGAAAAAAAAAAUCGAAGAACAAUGUCGGCAGAUCCUGUCGUUGGUAUUGGAUGGGAUGCCUUGAAGAGCUAUGUAGUUGUUCCCAUCGAACGUGGAUUCGGACACGUGAUCUCCUCCAAGAGAUUCGCCGACCGUCUUCGGGGGGAAGUCCAGAAUCUGGAGAACGAGGAUCAGAGGGUCAAGGUUCUUGCGGACGAGGCUAGAAGGAAUGUUCGGAAUUCAUCGAUGUCUUCACGACGUGGAAGGCAAGUGCUGAGAAGGCCUUGGAAGAGGCGCGAGAGCUGUUGGAUGACUUCGAAAAGGCGACCAAUACUUGCUGCUACGGGACUCUUCCCGACCCCAAAUCUCGCUACCAGUUUAGCAGGAAGGCCGAGGGCAAGAUCGAGGCCAUUAAGCAACUCACUCAAAAAUGCAUCGGAUUCAACGGAUUGAACGACAUCUCCUUCAUCGAUCCUGCUUUCACUUCUUCUGCCUUGACGUCAAUGAAGCUUGGGGAUGAUGGUGUCUUCGAAUCCAGAGCUUUGAUGAUACGGAACAUCAUGGGCGCUCUUGCUGACAACACUAAUAGUGUGGUCGGGGUUUAUGGGAUGGGCGGGAUCGGCAAGUCCACCCUUUUACUGGAUGUUGAAAGGAAAGUAAGCGAAGAGAAGUCGUUUCAUUGGGUCGCGAAGGCCGACGUGUCGGAAAAUCCAGACAUUAAGACGAUUCAAGGAGAGAUUGCGGAUGCAUUGGGCCAUAAUGAGAUAAAGAACAAAGAGACUAUCAGCGGGCGAGCCAAACUUCUGCACGGGAGGUUGAAAGACGAGGAGAGGGAGAAAAAGAAGGUCCUCAUAAUACUGGACAACCUGUGGGAGGGGCUCGACUUAAACAAAGUCGGCAUUCCUUGCGGACAUGACAACAAAGUAAUGGGAUGCAAGUUGUUGAUGACGUCAAGAGAUCGUGAUGUUUUUGCGAAGGAAAAUGGGCUGCGACAAGGACUUCCUCCUCGGUGAGUUGGAGGAGGAAGAGGCAAAAAGAUUGUUUGAGAAGCUGGUGGGAGCCAAAGUUCAUGAUGACCAGUUCAAACCUCUGGUAAAUGUAGCACUCGGCAAAUGUGCUGGUGUGCCUUUCCUAAUUGUUGCAAUGGCAAAACGUUUUAAAGAUGCUAAUUUAUCUGAAUGGAAAGAUACUUUGAAAAAAGUCGAGAAGUUUAAAGAUAAAGAAAUCAAUGACUCAAUACACCAGAUGUUGCAAUGGAGUUAUGAAAAAUUAGAAGAGGAGGUGAAGUCCUUAUUACAACUAUGUGUUUUUUAUGGUAUUUCCAAGCCUUCUCUUGAAAACUUGGUGAGGUACAACGUUGGUUUGGGGUUAUUUCAAGAAGUUAGCAGCAUGGAAGAAGCUAGAAAUAGAUUAAGCUCACAUAUCCGCACUCUUCAAGCCUCCUCCCUUCUGUUAGAUAGUGAAGAUGCUUAUGGUUUCAAGAUACAUGACUUGGUUCGUGAGUUUGUUGCCUCCGUUGCUUCAAGAGAUCACUCUUUUUUCGUGUUGAAAGAUAAAGAUAAGUCGAUAACAUAGUUGCAGAAGAGCAAGCUUGAAAGUUAUAGGGCAAUAUGCUUUCCAUACGUUGACAUGAAAGAGCUUCCCAAAGAAUUAGAUUGCCCUGAGUUGCAGAUCUUUUUGUUGUUCACAAACAACAGAUCUCUUAAGGUCCUAGAUUCAUUAUUUCACUCUAUGACAAAACUCAUGGUCUUAAAUCUCACCGGGAUGCAUCUCACUUACUCGCCUUCAUCGCCGUUUCAACUCUUAGAGAACUUACACAGUCUGUGUCUUGAUUGUUGUUAUUUAGAUAAUGUAGCCGUUCUUGGCAAGUUGAAAGGGCUACAAAUUCUUAGUUUUACAAACUCUAAUAUUCAUCGAUUGCCAAGAGAAAUCGGGCAACUGGCAGAGUUGAGGUUGUUAGACUUGAACCAUUGUCAACUUCAGAUAAUUGAACCAGGGGUACUUCAAAGCUUGAUCAAGUUGGAGGAGUUGUACAUGAAGAAUAGCUUUAAUCAAUGGAAUAUCGUGGACCAAACUCCACCAGCUAAUGCCAGUCUGAUUGAGUUGAAUCACAUGAAUAAUCUCCACACUCUGCAUGUUUCCAUUCCUAAUCCAAAAGUGCUUCCAGAGGAUCUAAACCUUGAGAAAUUAAGCAAGUAUGAAAUCCAAAUAGGUAAUGUGCACUACCGGUGGAGCGAGUGCAAAGGAUCUAGGAUAUUAAAGCUCAAGUUGGAUCCAUUAGAUGAUGUUCCUUUGAAAGGAUGCAUUCAAAGUAUCUUAGGCAAAACUGAUGAUCUGUUUUUGGACAAGUUGGGUAGAAAUGAGCAAAGUAUCUGUGAGUUAUCCCAAAAAGGUUUUCCAGAAUUAAAGCAUCUACAGGUCAUGAAUAGUGCUUCUAUCCAUUGUAUCCACCAAUCACCAUCCCAUACACAUUUUAAGAUGUUGGAGUCAUUACUUCUCAAGAAUCUCAUCAACUUGGAUAAAUUAUGCAAUAGCCAUAUCUCAUCCAAGUCCUUCAGUACAUUAAAAGUAGUAGAAGUUGCACGUUGUGACAAGAUGGAAGUAUUGUUUCCUCUUUCAGUGGUGGGAGGACUUCCACAACUAGAAGAGAUUAAAGUUGUUGAUUGUAAGCAAAUGCGAGGGAUUGUAGAUGCUGAUGAUGGUGGCAAAGUUGAGUUGCAUAAUUUGCGUGUAUUGGAAUUGUGUGACUUGCCAAAUAUUAAGAGCUUUUUCGCUAUAGGGACAGCUCCUUUGAGUAGUGCAUUAUACGACCAAGUUGGCACCCAAAUUGCAUUCUUCAAUGAGCAACCGGUAACCUUCUUUCAAAAGAAUAUGAUACUUAUUUCUAUUUUCUUCCUUUGUUUAUUAGAUGUAACACAUAUUAUGAUGCUUAUUUAUUUUGUUAUUUUCAGUUUAUUAUCUUCCUAAUUACCUUAUCCUUUCAUGCCUUGUCUAUAAUUAGUUAAAGUAAUCUUCCGUUUCACUUAACUGUGUAGAAAUCCAACUAAUUGUAUAAAAUCCAUGUAAAUUUAGUUUGUGAUAGAUUUUGAAUUAUUUUAAACUAACAUGCUGCAAGUAUAUCUAUAUUUAUAGGGUUUCAUGAAGCAAAACUGAAGAGUAUUUCAGCGUUCAAGUAAUUUCAUAAGUACAGUAAUUUUUAAUAUUUUGAAAUGAAUCCACUGAAUUUAGUUAUCAAACUUUGUUAUUAUCCACGAAAUGUAUAAAAUAGGUGACUCUUUUGAAAAUCAAUAUGAAGAAUGGGAAGGAGAACCGCUUUUUUAAAUAAAAUCAACUAUACUAAUCUAAUUUAUGCAUGUCUUUUGUGUAUUGUGUCUAAAUAAGCAUUUAGUCAUUGCAUAGGGCCAAAAUUAUAAGAAUACAAGCUUUUGUGCAUUUUUUUUAAUAGUGAAAGUGGGCCUAGGCAAUUGUAUGACCUUUUGUGCAUAAUAUAUAUAUACACAAUGGUAUGAUUUUUAUUAUGCCACACCAAAGUUGUCAUUGCAAAAUUGAAAUUCUUGCUAUCGGAGUUCCAAACUGAUCUUUACAUUUCUCUAGUCCAUACGGCGGAAUUAAGGCUGAGUAGCUACAAUAUCAAAUGAUGGAACUUGAUGCCUUGAUGGAAAAUCCACUGUCUUAAAGUCCAAAUAAUUUUAUAGAGACUUAAUUCAAAUGUUUUGACGGGCCUAGUAUUUUAAUUUGGCUACUUGGUAUGUCUUAGUUUAAUUUCCAAAGCUUCAAGUGCUCCACAAUUUAUUCUUCAAGAUAUUUGUGGCGAAAUUUGAGUUUUCUUUUUGUUGAGUCCAUCCAAUUUAGAUUGUGAAUUUUAUGUAGCUUCUAUAUCUUAUCAAGAAAAACCGGUGGUUGCCCAGUCUCAUGGGACCAUAUGUGGUCAUUGUGAUUUCUCUCUAUGGCGAUGUGGAAAUCUAAAUAUCAAGUUCUUUAACUAAAUGUCUUCACAUUUGGCCUUUAAAGUAUGUAUGGAUAUAUUUGUACACAAAUCCACAGUUUGUGUUUAAUAUCCUGUUAAAUUGGUUAUUGAUAGUGAUUUAUUAACAUUAAAAGAAGUUAAGUGAAUUGAGGAUAAAUAAUUGUCUAAUUAAGGAAAGCGAAUGGCUAUUUUAUAUAGGAAGUAGUUGCUGCUGGUGGAGCCUUUUGGCUCACUACAUAAGAUUGCCCUUUAAUUGUGGCGUGAUUAUAGCUGAAGUUGAUGGUGGGGCCCAAGACUUGCACCAUAUAUUAGUUUCCCCAUCAGUAAAGAAUCAUGGAGAUUUAAGUUGAUGGUGGGUCCCUCAAGACUGCAUGUCUAAGUAUCUCCACUUCAACCUCGACUUUUCCACUUCGCAUGCAAGAGAGGAGUUAGAUUGGGAGGGUUUGCAAAGAGGCUUUGGUGCUUUUAAUUUUCAAGCGUUCGAAAUCUUUGUUAAAGAAUUUUACUCUUGCCUUGAUGCCUUCUCAUUUUGGGCGUAGAAACUAGGGCUGCAAAAAUCUAUGGGAUUAUAAUGAAACGUUUCUAAUAAUUGUAAUAAAUCUCUUCCAACGUUCUAAAGAGGUGGAGCCGACGAAAGUAGCAGUGGAAGGUUGGAUUGUCAGGGAUGACAGUAGUUGAACAAAGAAACACACAUAAGUUAAACUUGUUGUAAUAGAUGGGAGCAUUGGGUGAUGGUAAGGUAGAUGGGAGAUUUCAAGUAACUUUGUAGAAGAAAGGAUUUUCUCGAGUUGAAGCGGUGAACUUUUGAAGAAGACUAGUUACUCUUUGCCCAAAAAAAAAAGAAAAUAAAAGAAAAUAAAGCUUUUGAUUGUGAUUUAUUGUUUAGAAGGAGUAAAACUGGCUCACUAAUCAAAUUAAUCUCCACAAUCAUUUUCCAAGUAGAGAUUGGAGAAAGAUUCAUUAUAUUGUUUAGUAAUAACACUAGUAUUGAGAUUUUCUAACUCCUAUUUUAUUUUAUUCUCUUUUUUCCCCUUUUGUGCAACUUAAUAAUGCCCCUCUCUUCUUGGCACAUGUAUAUAUUAACAUUUUGGAAGUUCCUAAAUUCGUGAUUUAACUGAAUCACCAAUUCUAUGAGUGAAUACUGUAGGUUGCCUUUUCGAAAUUGGAGACAUUAGUAAUAUGGGGCUUGGAUAAUGUCGAGUUUUUGUUUUUCGCAUCCAUGAUUAAAUCUCUUGCACAACUGGGAGAUCUACGGGUAUCUUAUUGCAAAAAGAUGAAGGCAAUCAUUACAAAGGAAGAAGGGUUGGGAUUGGAAAUAUCAGAAACUCUGGCAUUCCCAAUGUUAACUAACUUAAACUUAAAUCAUUUGGGAUGUGCUUCUCUUGCAAAAAGUGUAAGAUUGAUUUUUUGUUUUCAUCACUAAAGAUCUUCUUGUAGAUAAAUUCAUCCUUGCAAUACAAAUGGCAACAUUCUUUUCAUCCAUUGAAAAACUAAUGACAGGUUCACGAGAAGCUUGGAGUCAAGACCACAUCAAGUCAUACUCCACUGCACUCUUUAGUAAAGAGGUACAUGAUUAACGUUAUGCCAAAAUAUUAUAUAUAACAAAAGUAUUAAAUAUGCAAAAGACAACAUAGCCAACAUAAGAACUAACUAAAUUACUCACAAAGUGUACUUUGAUUAAAAUAUUUUAAAGAAAAUGAGUCGCAUACAAACAUAAGUAUUGAAAGUUGCCAACACGUAUGAGUUGCAAUUGUUUAAUUUUAAUUUCUCCUAAAUAGUUUCCAUAAAGAUGGUCAAAUAUCUCUUAUGGUUAAAAGCUUGUCGAUGUUCAUAGGAAACUUAAAAGCUCUCAGCAACCUCACAUGUAUGGCAUCGACAUUGCACGCAUGCACAUUGAAAGCAAUUUAAAAACAAUGGAGAGGAAAGUGAGCAGUAAGGUUCGAGAGGUUGUAGAUGAAAGGCCUUUAAGGUACUCACUUGACUUCAUUUGCUCUUAAAUUAAAAGAUCUCUCUUUUUCCCCCCUAAUCGAAGGAAGCUUUACUCUCCCUUAAUUGCACCAGCAAAAGGUAUAUGAGUCCUCUCCAUUGCUAAACUGAGCAAGAUCUCUAGGGACUAGGGCUUCAGAAAUCACCCCUUUAAGUUUUAACAUGAACUGCAAGACCAAAGUGAUCAAUUCAGUGACUUCUCUAAGUGCGCUACAAUUUCAUUGAAUAAUUUCAUCCAUACUGUAACUUAAAUAACCAUCUCUAAGUGAUUUAACAAAUGCAUUUCAUCCUUUGGCUAGCAAAAAAAGCACAAAGUGUAAUUUGAUUAUUUUGGGAAAUGGAUAAGUGUUCCAGAAGUCCUACAACUUGUCACAAAAAUGCAUUUCGGUCCUAAAACUUGCAAAGUGCAUUUAAGUCCUAAAACUUGUCAAAUUAUUUCAAAUAAGUCCUAAGAUCGACGCCGUUAGCCUUUUCCGUUAAAAAUGCUGACGUCACAUUUUAAAUAAUUUUUUAUUUUCCAAGUUUAUUUUUUAAUUAAUUUGUAUCCAUUUAAAAAAGUUAGAUUUAAAAAAUAAAAAAUUAAAUUUAUUCUUAUCUUAUUUUCAACAACAACUAUAAAUAAAAGUUAAUAUUUAUUUUUAAAAUUUUAAAAAUAAAUUAAAAAAAUAAUGUUAACUUUUUAAAUAUGUUUUUUAAUAAAUAUUUUAAAUUUUUUUAAGUUUUUGGUGAAAAUAAGAUAAAAUGAAUAAUUUGAUUUUUUUAGUUUUUAAAUCUAUUUUUUUUUUAAAAAAAUAAUUAAAAAAAUUCACGUGGAAAAUAAAAAAUUAUUUAAAAUGCCACGUCAGCAUUUUUAACGGAAAAGGCUAACGGCGUCGAUUUUAGGACUCAUUUGAAAUAAUUUGACAAGUUUUAGGACUUAAAUGCACUUUUUGCAAGUUUUAUGACUGAAAUGUAUUUUCGUGACAAGUUGUAGGACUUCUGGAACACUUAUCCCUUUGGGAAAUUGACUAAAUUCAAGAGAGGGAGUGACAUAAUUUAAAUUUGGGAUUAUGAGGGACUAAUGUGACUAUGUGAUAGUUAAGGAGCAUAUCCAAAUUACCAUUUUGCCAUUAUCAACAGAAUCUAGUCAGAAUUCCUACUUUUUGACUUGUUUGUGGUAAAUUCCAAUAGCCUUCUAGUCCUAGAGUCAUCAACAUUAGUAUGGGCAUUUUUUACUAUUUUUUUUUUUUUACUUUAUUCUUCUUCUUUUUUUCCUUUUGUGCAACUUAAGACAAAAUCAUCAAUUUUAUGAAUUCGAAAUUUACAUCUUGACACUCAUCUAUCUUGGAAGUUCAUGAUUAACUCAAUACCAAUUUUGUGAGCGACUAUCGCAGGUUGCAUUUCCUAAAUUGGAGGCAUUAGAUAUCACUAGCUUGGACAAUAUUGAGAUGAUAUGGGAUAAUAAAGUUGCUGCGGAUUCUUUCCCCAAGCUAAAAACCCUUUGUGUGGUUGAUUGCAAUAAGCUUGUGAGCGUAGUUCGUUCUUUCAUUCUAAGAUGGCUCUUGAGCCUGGAAAGAUUGGAUGCAAGAAGAUGUAAUUCGCUUGAAGUUGUUUUUGAACUUCAGCCACUGAAUCAUCUAGAUGGACAUCCUAUUGCUCUUCCAUUUGAAGAACUGAUGAUAUCAAGAUUACCAAAGCUAAAGUGCAUAUGGGAUAAGGAACUCCACUGUCAAAUUAAAUUCCAGUGUCUACGUUCUAUUAGCGUUUCAAGAUGUGAUAGCCUCACCUAUUUAUUUCCAGCCUCAGUAGCUAGAGAUCUAAUCCGACUUGAGGAGUUGGAGAUCGAUGAAUGUGGCAUUGCAAAAAUCAUCAAGAAUGAAGAAGGACUAGUUCCCAGGUUUGUAUUCCCAAUGUUAACCUCCCUCAAGCUUAAGUAUCUGAGAGAGUUGAAGUGCCUCUACGUUGGAACACAUACUUCCCAAUGGCCGGCAUUGAAGACCUUGAACAUGCGUGGCUGUGACAAAGUGGAGAUACUUGUAUCGCACUCAGUAAAUGAGAUGCCACUUGAUAAACCGCCUUUCUUCUUGAUAGAAAAGGUACAAUCGAAGAUUACUUCUUUUACUUUUAUGGUGAAUAUUUUGAAGUGAUGAUUAAGGUCACAAUCAAGCAUCUCAUACAAGUAGGUCUACAUAGGAAGAUGUAAACUGUACGACUCACCUUCAAUUUAUAGAAAUAUUUCUACAUUGAAACAUCACAUGUUCUUCAAUUGUUGACCGAACAUUCUUGUCAGAUGUAUCAAAUGCAUUUUUAAUGAUCCCCUUUUAAUAAAGUUUUAUGCUAAUUCCGAUGGUUUAGCUCUCUCCUAAGUGCCAGAUGAAAACACAUGGCAUGUGUCGUGAUCUUAGCAUGGUACAAGUGUAUUGUCUAAUUUGAAUCCUAUAAAGAUUACCAAAGUUUUGCUAAAAAUGGAAAGAUGUGACGUUAUUGUUGACAUUAAUCAUUGAAAUUUGUGCACGUGCAACUGUAAUUGAUGCAUAGGUUAUUUUCACAAGGGAUUUAUCUUUAGAAUUGUGAACAUAAGGAGUUACUUAAGCUCAAAUAUGGAUCCAAGUUGAAUAUAAAGAUUAUUGAUAAUGUUUAUUUGAUGUAGGCACAUUUCCUAUUGAAUCACGUGAGACUCAACAUUCUAUAAAUGUAGUUAUUGCGCGCAACAUGCAAGACUUAUAUCAUAGUACAUGAAUGCUCUUUUAACUAAGCUGGCUUUAAAUUAUGAUUUGACUAUUUUCUCAGGGCGGAUUCCCUAGUCUCCAAGAGUUAGAAUUGGAUUUAUCGGAAUGGAUGGAGAUAUGGCAUGGGCAUUUUCAUCAUGGAGAAUUCUUUUGCAAGCUUAGUUUGCUUAAGCUUCAUCAUCUCUCCCAGGAGUCUUUAAUAUCCACAUGUCACUUUGUUGAGAGUUUAACCAACUUAAAAGAGCUAGUUGUAUGUGAAUCUUAUCUAGAAGACCCAAGCAGCAAUGAGGAAGCCAUAGAAGGCACAAGUCAUGAGAUGAAAGUAAUAUUACCCUUUUUCAAGAUAUAUUCGACAUUUGCAAACUCUAGAUGUGUCACAUUGUGAUGGGUUAUCAAAAAUGUUCACACCAACAAUUGCUGAAAAUUUGGUGGCACUCACAAAAUUGAAGAUAAGUAAUUGUAGAAUGUUGACAGAAGUCAUUAAUGAUGAGAAAGGUGGGGAGGGGCGUGUGGUGGCUUUCAAUCAAUUGAAGUAUAUGGAGCUUGAUAGGUUGACAGGGUUGAGAAGUUUCAGCUCACGGAGAUAUACUUUGAUGUUCCCUCUCUUGGAAGAUGUCAUUGUGACUAGGUGUCCCAACAUGAAGUUUUUCUCUCAAGGACCGAUAGAGGCAUCAAAAUUAAAGAGAGUUUGAGUAUCAAAGGAAGUGUGGUUUUGGGCAGGAAACCUCAACAUCACCAUCCAAAAUAUGUUUGAAGAAAUGGUAUGCAUCAAUUACCAAAUUCCAUGUAUUUGGAUGGUUUUGACUAGUAAAUGAAUAAUUGCUUUUUGCUAGCUAGAAGUUUACAUUUAAUGAUGCAUUUUUUGACAGGUUUCGUUUGCUGGAGUAAAGAAAAUGCUGCUAUUUGAGUUCCCCAAGCUUAUUGGAAAAUGGCAUAACGAACUGAAUCCCAUCAAGUCUUAUUGGCAAUUAGAAUCAUUGGUGGUAGAUAAAUGUCCAUCAUUUGUUAAUGAUAUUCCAUCCAAAUUGAUGCAUGUUUUAGAAAAUCUGAGCUUUUUGCAAGUGCGUGAUUGCGAGUUGCUUGAAGAAAUAUUUGAUUUGGAAGGGCUGGGGGCAAUGGAAAGCACUAGAGUACUACCUCGGCUACAGGAAUUGAACUUGGCCAAUCUACAAAAAUUGAGGCAACUAUGGAACAAAGAUCUUCAAGAAUCGCCUCACUUCAAUUCUCUAGGUUAUCUCAUCCUUUAUAAUUGCAGCAACUUGGGACAUGCUUUCACUCCAUUGAUGGCUCGGUGCCUUGCCAAUAUUGAACAGAUGGAAAUAAAGGAGUGUGGUCAGAUGGAAAGAGUGAUUGUAGAGGAAGAAGGGCAGGGAAGCAUAGUGGAGAAGAUUACAUUCCCAAAGCUCAAGUGGAUGAAACUAAAAUGCUUACCCAAUUUGACUUGUCUCCUCUUGAGAAAAAAUCAUACGUUGGAAUGCCCCAAAUUAGAAUCGCUAAGCAUUGCUCAUUGCCCUAAGAUGAGAAGUUUGAUUGGGCAAUCCCAAAUGGAGAACGACCACAACAACCCUUCACUUUUCACUCCCCAUGUCAAUCUUUUAAGCAAAUGCAUUUUUGGCAUUUCAUUGGGAACAUAUUCUCGUAGUAUUGGACAAUGCACGGUAUGAUGCAAAUUUAGUGCUUUGUGUGGGUUUAUAUACAUAUCUUCUAAAAUUAUUCUAAUCCUCAAUAAAUAUAACUAUGAACCAUCCAUCUCUGCAUCCUUUUAGAAGUGUUAAAUUGGUGUCAGUUCAUGAAAUCAUUUCAUUCAUAGUACUUUAGAAUUAAUUAGCGAGGUUCUUAAAAAAGUUACCACAAUAACCAUAUAAAGACAUUAUCUUUUUGCAAUGUCAACAAUAAAGAGCUAAACAGUAAACAUAGUAUAGCAUCUAAAAAUGACAAAAAAAUGUAGUAUUGCCACUUCAUAUUUUCUUGCACAUAAGCAAACUAGCAUCGUUCUAUUAAACAUGAAGAAAAGGGGAAAAGAAAACUUCAUAAUGUAAAAGCUUAGUUCACAAAUUGCUUAGCAAUGACAAAUCAUUGUACCAUAAAUCAUCUUCCCAAUCAAUGAAAUUAAGGGAAUUAGAGAGGGCGGCACUUUUAAUUGGAGUGUUAUAAACCUCAAUGAUGAUUCGUGCAAUCAACUUUUUUAUUUCUUAAUACUCACCAAUGCUUGAGCUAGGUCUUCAUAAUAAAAUAAAUACAAAUAGAAAGGUCAAUAUGCAUGGAGUGAUUAGUCUUCUUCGUUCAUAAAUCCUACUUGAAUCGCUAUAUUCCAACAACCUAUCAAGUUAGGUACCUGUGUUAUGCAAUAAAUAUUAACUCUGGAUAAUUAUAUUUAGUAAUAAUUAGUGUGAUAAUGUGCUCAAUUUAUAUUUGGCAAGAGAAAAGGCAGAUUGCUUUUUCCAAGAAAAGUAAUGGCGAAAGAAAGGAAAAAAAAAAAAGAGAGGAAAGGACAGCUAGAUGAUAAAUAGUAGCAAUUAUGUGGGCGGUUGCCGACAUUGCAAGUCUUAUUUCAUAACUAGAUGACAAUAUUUAGUCAAUGUCCAUGCUAAAAUAAAAAUUUUAAAAAUCAUAAUAAAUUAUCCAAUUAACAACACUACCGAAGAGAAAAUAUUAGGUGCAUUGAAUACUCCGCAUAGGAUUCGUAUUGAAUAAUCCGCAGAUCAACACAUGGCAAAGCCGGGCCCGCCUAUCAACCAUCAAAAUUUUUGCUCCCCCCUCUGUUCAUUUACGCCGUCACUAGAAAGCUUUGCUCUCCUCUUCCUAGUGUGGCUCUGCUCCCUCUCUCUCUUUCCUCUACAAAGGUGCAUCUCUAUACGUGAACCACACCACCCCCUUGGCCUCUAUCGGUUGUGGUGCGCUCACAGGAUAAAGGAAAAAACAAAAAAAAAAAAUAGAUAAGAAAUUAGACAAAAGUCUAUUUGGUUUUUCAGCUUCUCCCCCCUUGAGAACUGUUCGCUCUCGGUCAUUUCAUUUGACCUUGUUCCUUCUCUUCGCGACGAGGGCAAAAAAGAAAGUGAACUAAAUCUACAUAGUCAAGUAACGAUAAGUCUUCUUCCUCCCCCACCUCUCCUCCUCUACCUUCUUUUUUUGGGGCAAAUGAUUGGGUGGUCUGUCCAAUGGUUGAAUUGGAAGCUUCGGAAUCACUUCUCUGAAGCUCGCCUCCUCUCUGUGCGCGUGCAUGCGUGGGUUCCGAGCGAUUACGCGAACCGGAGCUUGUUGGUUAUGGUGGGUCGAAGUGGAUCUCCGAUGCGGAAGUGAUUUUGAAGUCGAUUCGAUCGGGGCGUUGAUUCCAACGAAGAAAAAUUAAAAAAUGUUAUCUUCAGCCCUCUCUUCCUCCUCUUUCAUCCACAGCUGCCCGACCUCCGCCCCUCCUCCGUUGUCGCCAACGGCAGAGUCAUCAGCGCCUUGCUUAGGCUGAUCCUCACUAUGUCCAAGCCGAGCAUGGCCGGCUUCCUCUGCUUUGUCCAUCUCAUCGUCCUACAGAUCUCGAAAUCUGGCCGUCCAUAACGACGCAGUUGCAGAUCUAGAAGUCCACCACCAUUGCUAGCAGCCAUGGACGUGCCACUGUCGCCGGAACGAUGGCUUUAGAAUGGGAAGUUCCGUCGCGAAAAAUGAUGGCUUAUGGACUACCAUUGUCCCCUCCGUAGUCGCUCGCGAUCGGCUCAUGGUCGGCCCCAUCCAUGGCCGGCCACCCCUCCAUCAUCACAGAUGCUCGUGGUCGUUGCCCAUCCAGAUCUGGAUUGGAGUCGUGUCUCCAGAUCUAGUAUCGUCCAUAGACGCAAGCCUAGCUCGUCCAUGGCUCGCGAGGAGGCUCCUCCACAGAUCUAGCGAUCACUGCUUGUCCAUGGCCAUGAGCCUUGACGACGAGUUUGAGAUCCUGACGGCCAAGGACUCCGAGGUCAAACAGCGAAACAAAGAAUAGAGGAAUAGAUGUUAGGGAAGAGUGGCCACAGACGAGACGGCCGGAGCUUGAAUGCGGCCAUGGACAAGGGGCGUCAUGAACAGGUAGACCACAAAGACGACGGAGAGGGUUGGACGCCCGGCAAUGGUCGCCUUGGACACAGCGCCGGCAACUCCGCCGUUGGCAACGGCGGAGGGAGGCAGGAAGGUUGGGUUCAAUGUGGGUGGAGAUGGAGGAGAAAGCCUAGAUGGAGGAGGAAAGUGAGGUGGAUUGAGAUUUUUUAUGUUUAGUCAUCUGACCAAAAAAUGCUAAUAUUUAGUCAAUGUCCUAGCUAUAUAAAAAAUUAAAAAUAAUAGGAAUCAAUCAUCCAGUCAACAUUUCCAUUCCGUUCCAUGAAGUUCUCACGGGAAGACUGAACGCAAUAAAUGACGACCUCCACCGGCACUUCUUUUUUUGGGUCGAACCCUGAGGCACUUGAAAAUGUGCGAUAUCAACCCAAAUUUGAAUUUUUGGCGUUCAUUUUUUUAUUAUGGAUUCCAUAUAAGUUUCGGUUAUUUCUUUUUUCCCUCGAGGGAAGAAAUGCUUGUGUUUUGUCUUAUUCUAAUACUUUUGUGCGAUUCUUUCUAUCGUUGCUUAUGAGUAGAAUGUUUAAUCAUGAGGAGUAUCUAUAUAUUUGUUUACUAUUUAUCGUAAAAGUUAUUGCUAAUUAUUUAUUUAUUUCUAAUGUCAUUUGCAUGUAUAAGUUGUCAUGUAAUAAUAGGUAUCCCCACAUUUUGAGGAUAUUUCAAAAGGUCAUUAUUACAUUGAAUCAAGAAUACUAAUAAAUUGGGGAAGCAUAGAAAUAGUCAUAUGAUUUUUUGGUAGUGACAAGUUGUGAUAGCUUUAAUUUCAUUUUUAUGUCAAAUAUGAGCUACCUCUAAUAAUAAGUUGCUCCCACAUUGUUAGACAAUUUCAAAUACUCAUUGAAAUCCUCAAUUAAGAAUAUUAAUAGAUUAAGGGAAGUGUGGAAAGUCAUUUUGUUUUUUUUUUUUUUUGGUUGUGAGAAGUCAUAGUUGCGAUAACUUUACUUUUUAGUGGACAAUCAUAUUGUGGUCAUAACACGGUAAAAAAAAAAAAAAACACGGUUGAUUUUCUCCACACAAACAUAUUGUGGUCAUCCGCUUCUUUUUUCUGUUCUUUUUACUUUUCUUUUAGCCUCCAACACCCGAACAAAACUCCAAAAUCCUCAACACAAGGCAUCAAUUAAGGAUAAGAAAUUGGAUACCAUUUUUUGCGAGCAGUUGCACCACUGGCCCACCACAAGAUUCUACCACAAAAGUGAAUAAAUAAUAUUUCAAGCAAGUUAUUAAUGGUCCAAUGUAGAACUAGUAAGUUGGCCCAACUUGCUUUUUUAUGAGAUCAUAAUAUAUGUUAAUUAUUCCAAUCAUUAUAUUGCCCGUGUCUAUUACAUAUUUAUUUUCUUUCGAUACAAAAAUUUUUCUGCACGUAAUAAAGAAAAAACUUGUAAACAAUUGAAGUUAUUAUUAUUUUUAUCUGGUUCGCCAUCUAAUUUGCAUGACGCUUCUCAUUAGUGAACUUUAUUAAUUGAAGAUUCAUAAGUAAUGUUCACAAUUGGUAUUAGUGUUGAAUAAGUAGCGUGCUCAUAGUAAAUAGAGGAAAUAAUCUCUAUCGUAGGAAGACACAUUUGAUGAGUGUUGGACUCGAGUUGUCAAUCAAUUGUAAGUGAAGAUGCACAAAUCUCACUUGUGCUCCCAUUUUGUGGCUUAUUGAUCCCAACUAUUGAUCUAUUUAAAAAAGUUAUUUCUAAAAUUUAUCUCAAUGCAUCAAUGAUUGAGGCACCAUAUGGUAAAAAAAUGGGGGUAGUGCAUCUCCAUCCUUUCCAUAUAUACAUGGACAUGCUUAUAUAAUCAUCUUCUAGGUCCAUGCUAUUAAAAAGCAAAUAAGCAUCACUGUACAAGAUUUCUUACCUCCAUACAAAUAAACACGAUGUCCAUGCUGUUGAUUCACUUUUGCUAAUAAUUUUCGAUUAUUCUAAAUCUACUAGAGAUGAAAAUGGGAAGUUAAUUUCUUUUAAUUGAUAAGAAAUAUAUGUAGAACCUGCUUAUACCUAUCGCUGGAGCAUCAUCAUCAUAUUGCACCCAUCAAUGUGGCAUUGGACCCAACAUAAGGAAGAGAGAAUAAUGAUAUGUAUGUAUAUCCUGAUUGGAUUGCAAUAUGAAGCACAUGCAUCAAAGCUUCUUUGAACCGUGCUUCGGCUACAUUCGUUCCUCGAACCAAAUAAAUUUAAGAAAUUCUUACCUUAUCUAAUGUUGCAUUAUCAAAAAAUCAGUGCAAGCAACUUUGAUAAUGAUCAGUUGAAUAAUCCAAGUAUUCAUCAUUGAACUUUCCAAAAAUUAAAGAGAUAAGGCGUUGCUAGUAUUAAAUGUCAAUUGAGGCACUUAAAAGUCAAUGCUCAAUGUACUAUUGAUUAUAAAUGCAUUUAUAAUUUCAUGCUUGUUGCAAUGCAAUAUGCUUGGCCUUAGUCAUUAGUCAACUUAAAUGAAAGGAUCAAUUAGCCGCUCCCUUUUUUUGUCAAUAACAAGUUCCCACAUUCUCAUGAUUUGUGAGAGUGAGGGAAGUUUAGAAAUUCUUUGUUUGAGGUCAUAACUCAAUGUAAUCACAUUCAUUUAGUCAUUUUUCUCAAUAUGCCAGGUACAAUGUCCUGAGCUUAAGCGGAUGUUUCUCUCCCAUAUGGACAAUUUAAGCAAAAUAUGGAGUGACAAUCCUCAAGAAACUCUCACUUUUGACAAUUUAUGGAAAGUGCAAGUUCAAAAUUGUAGGAGCCUUGAAAUCGUGUUUCCGCAUUGGGUGGCUACAAGUCUAACCCAACUUAAGGAACUUCAAGUGGAGUCUUGUGGGAUUGAGGAAAUAGUUGCUAGUGGGAAUGAGACUCCACAUUCCAAUACCACUCAAGAUCUUUUCCCAAAACUAACCUUUCUAGUGUUACAUGAUAUGCCACAACUCAAGAACUUCUGCACCAACUUGCCCACUUUGAAAUGGCCAAUCUUGAAGGAACUGCGAGUGACUCAUUGUGAUAAAGCGAACAUGAUGUCUCUUGUAGCAUCUAUGAGCAAUUGGGCUCAAAAAUAUUAUCAACGGGCUUUUAGACCAAGAAGCACACUCUUUAUUUGAAAUGGUAUGAUUUCAGUUGCUCUCCCUUGGUUUCUAUUUUGUUCUUUAAAGCACUCACUGAUCUCAUAUCCACUACAUAAUCAAGCCACGUUAUAUUGCUAUAGAAAACAUGAUCUCCCUUACUUAUUAGUUUGUUGACAACAUUAAAAUAUUUCUAAUAUCUUAAGUAUACUUUUCAUUUGUGGACAACCAUAAGAUAUUUCAUUACCUAUAAUUACAAAAAUAAUUAUAGAUUUUUGUUGAAGGCGCAAUAUAUUCCUAAUCUAGUCUAGUGGUGCUCCUUGGGGAAAUCAUUGAAAAUUUGACAUGAGGUCCACUUCAUUGUUGACACGUGUUGCACAUUUGAACUUUUUUUCUCCAUUUCAUCAUCUAAAAACUCUAUAAAAAAAAAUCAAUACAAACAAUUUUAACAAAGAUAAGAUUAGUACCUUAUGCACUAUUUUCUUUUGUAUUCCUUAAUUGAUCUCGUCUUAUACAUAGUCAUUCUGUUGUAUUACUUUAGACAACCUAAAACUCCUUACCUACGAGUUUGAAGAUAACGUAAUAUAUUUUAUUAUAUCUUAGGCACACUUUUAAGUUUGUGGACCCAUACGUUUCAGUAAUAUCAUCCGUGCAUCCCAUUACAUAAGUUUCCAAAGAUGACUAAUUUUAGUUGACAAGAUAAGAUAUUUCUAAUAAAAGAUGAAGAUGAAUUCGAUGAGCUUGGAGAGAUCUUGACAAGUUCACUCUACAAACUUAACCAUACCAACCUCUAUUCGAGACUUUUAAAAGCUUGAGACUUGAAUGUAGGGCUCUUGAGAUAUAAUAAACUUUAAGAAGAUGGCCACCCUCCAUGUGAAUCAUCUUAAUAGGUUUACUUUUUACGGCACAUGAUUUAUUGUCGAAAUUUUGUUGAAUUUUCUUCUCUUGUUGUAUUGGCAAUUCAACAGGAUUUUCCCAACUUGGAGAGACUUUUAUUAGUCGAUAACAAUAUUCAGAUGAUACAAGAUGGAAAUUUUCCGGAUGACAUGUUUAGCAAGCUAGAAGCACUAACACUGGCAUGCUUUCAUGAUAAAAAGGCUACCUUUCCUUCCAUAUUCCUCCUAGAGAGAUUUCAAAAUCUACAGAGCCUUGAGGUCUUUUGUAGCUCCUUUGAAGAUUUAUUCUCAGACGAAGGGCUUGUUGAAGAAGUGAAACAUCCGGUGCUUGAAAAUUUAAGAGAACUUAAGUUAAACAAGCUACACAACUUAAAGUGUGUGUGGAGAGAAGACUCAUUAGUAUCGAAAAUUCUUCAGAGCAUCAAAACAUUUGAGGUUUGGGAUUGUCCUUGUUUGACAAUAAUUUUUCCAACUGUGACAUCCUUCCAGAAGCUGACCGGCUUAGAGGUAAAGAAUUGCUCUGGAUUGGUACAUUUAGUAACAGCUUCAGCAGUCACAAAUUUGGUGCAUCUUGAAUGGAUAACUAUAAUAGAAUGUGAAAGAAUGAAAGAAGUAAUGACAAAUGAUGGAAAUGGAGAAGGAAAAGUGAUUUCUUUUGGAAAUCUACAAUAUUUGACACUCCAACAUCUGCCAAGCCUAGAAUGCUUUUCCUCCAUCGCGAGUUGUACUUUUAGGUUCCCAUCCUUGUGGAGUAUUGAAGUGGAAGAGUGCCCGAAAAUGAAGACAUUUUCUAUGGGUACGCUAAGCACAUCAAGACUGUAUCAUGUGUCAUUGUUCAGAUAUAAGUGGAGAGGGAAUUGGGAGACGAGUGAUGAUCUCAAUACAACCAUACAAAAAUUAUCAGCAUGAACAAAUUCACAUAUAAUUGGUAAGAUCCAAUUGACGUCAUUCUCUCAUCAAUUUUUUUUU
rnacentral:lncRNA from 1 species